UUUUUUUUCUUUUUUCUUUUUGUAGUUAGAACGCCUAAUGUUGAGUGUUUUGUUUGGAUUUUUUUUUUGUUUUCAAGAAAGUAUUUUGGUUGUAUCAUAAAUAUAUGUUUUAAAUUAAUUUUUUCCAUCUUUUAAACUAUCUUUUUUCUCAUAUUUACAUCACAUUUCAAAAAAAUAUUAUAAUAUCAUUUUUUAAGAUAUUAACUUCUUAAAUUUUUCACAUUUGUUUCUGCUUAGCUGGACAUGGUUUAUAUGUUAUUAAGAGUGUUUGGAUACCAAAAUUAUUUCAAAUAAUAUUUCGCUUGCAUCACAAACACAUUUCCCAAUCUACCUUUUUAUAUUCCCAAUCACCUUUUUCUCUCAUACAGCAUAUCAUAAAAAGUAUUACAGUAAUUAUUUCAAAUAAUACACUAUCCAAACAAACAUGCAAUUUGAAUUAAAUCACACUUUUCAUCUAGAAGAUGAUGUAUCAUUUUUCUCCGAAACUUUCUUUUUCAAUCCUCUUAAAUAUGUUACUAUUUCAAAAAAAUAUUAAAUUCCUUUUUUUAUUUUAAUAGCUGGUAUUCCUUUCCUAGAAGUUUUCAUUUCAAUACUGCUUUUCACCCUUAACUAAAAUGAAUUUGAAGCACAAAUUAUGUGAAAAAGGAUACUACAAAUACAUUUGUGUUACUUCGCGAGCCUAUUAGGUAGAAUGUAAGUUAAUGCAAUGGAGAAGUUAAAACGUGUUAAAUUUCAAAGUUGGUAAAAACGUUUAAUUCACUUUCUAGAAGAUGAAGCUCUAACAGAGGAGGUCAAGUUCCUACCAAUUUCAUUUACCUCCCUGAAGAUAAACUCAAGUUCCUACCAAGUACCCCAACUAAUCCAAGAUAUGGCAUGCUAGUAUUGCCAAUCAUGUUUUGGUGUGGUAUCGUGGUUUUUUUUUUUUUAAAAAAAAUAAAUGUAGAAACUAUAUUGAUUCUUCAAAGUGAAAAGAAAAGGAAAAGGGAAGAAAAAGAAAAGUGAGAAAAACUUUGCUUGGAUUGAAGGUUUUCGUCGGAAAAUAUUAUCGUUUUCCGUGAUCACAUUUCCCUAUCACCUUUUUCCCUCACAUAUAUCACAUCGGUACAGUAAUUUUUCCAUGAAAAAUGACGGAAAAUGCAAUCCAAACACAACCUUAAUUUGGAUCGUGGAACAGGAAAAAGAGAGGGAAGAGAUUCGGCAAACAUUUGAGUAGACCAAUUCUAUAUAGAUCAUGUGAUCCAAAAUUUGUCAUGCCAUCUCAACAAUUCUUGAAUUGUUGGUACUACAAAAUUUAGAUCACACGACUUACAAAACUAGGUAUGUUCAAGUUUUUGCCAAGAGAAUUAAGACUCCACUUGCGCUAUUGUCAAAGGUGUCACUUAGAGAAAGAUUCAACUGCAAUUUUGAUAACAACUCUCAGCCGAAUAAAUGAUGAUAAAAUUGGAAAUUGGGGUUUAUGUUUCAGAUGAGUUAGAAUGCUCCUAAUUCCGUCGAUAGCAAAGUAAACAAUAGGUUAUGCACAAUGUCGUCAAAUAAAUUGAAAUACAUGUACUGUGUCAACGUAUAUAAGAUUGACAUAAUAUUUAUUAUAAGGACGGUGAGUCUCAAUAUAUACCUGAUGGAUUUUUCUUUUUCUUUUUGUUUUAAUUUUCUCCAAUCAAUGGGCUGUGUCCACAACCCACAACCUUAUAAGGUAAAACUUUGGGCGUGACAAAGUUAAUUACAGCGACCAUACAACUUGAAAAUCUUAAGCCGUACUAAUAAACCAGUAACAGGUAACCUAAUCAAUCAGAGUCGCUGCACUAGAAAGUGAAAUUGUGAUCAUACAUUAGCUCAAUGGCCACCACCUCUCCUGAUGGGGGUGAGUUGUCUGCUUUUUAUGGAUAAUUCAUUUGGUCUCGUCAAGCUUUCUUAGGAGGUGGUGUCCAGUGGAGCCUUUCCUUCUGGGUCCGAAAAAAAAAAAAGAAGAAGACGACAGGGAUUGGCGCGCUGGAGUUGCAUUCAUUCUUGGAUGAUAAAAUGCCUUCCUAUUUGCAACUUGUAAAGUCAAGUGGUCAGUACACCGCAUUCAUUCGUUCCCCCCGAAACCAAAAGCAGGUCUGCAACUUGGUCCUUUUAUAACAGCAACUCCUGUGACUAAUAUCAGGCCAUUUUAAAUUCAUUUAACCCUUCUUGAUUUGUUUUUAUUAGCGUUUAACUCACUCACUCUCCAAUCUUGAGAAUGAAACAAAGUCAUUUAUGGCCUGGAAUUGGGUAAGAUUUGCAUCAGACUUUUCUGGGAAUCUGGACUGAAAUUUCAGGGAAAAGCGUGCUGUUUAACUUUUUUUUUUUUUUUUUUUUUUUGUAUGUGAAAUUAAUUCCAAGUUUGCUGGUCCAAAGAAACAAAAGAAAUAUGUUUUCACUAUAUGCCGGGAAAAGUUUUGCAGCUCGGUAACUCGAUGAUUUAUUAGCGUCUGGUGCCAACAAACAAACAUGUCUCUUUUCCGGGAAGAAGAGGGGGAAACAAAUUAACAUUCAUGGAAGAAAUUAGGGUUUGUUUCGACGUGAACACAUUUUUCAAUCAUUUUUUUAUCUCAUAUACAUCAAAUAAUCGCUAUGGUAAUUUAUUUUAAAAUAAAAAAAUCCAGUCGAAUCAUAUGAGAUGAGUUGGUCAAGAGUCGAGACAUUUGCCUGAAAAUUAGACCUACACUACACGUUCAAAUGUGAAACACCACUUGAGUAAAAGUCCAAGCAAGGUUAAAAACCCGGGAUCAAGAUGGCACGAAUGAAUUAAAUUGUAUGUGACUAGGUAGUGGGGUGAGAAGAGGUCUCGACUAGCUCCGCGUUGAACACAGGCUUUUCUGAGAUUAUUAUUAUUAUUAGUCAUGUAAACCCAAAUAAAAAUAAAAAACCAUCUUGUCGGCCGGAAGAGAAGAGGAUUAUUAGUCAGUGGGGUAGUUAUCAGAAGGACCAUCAUACAUUUGUCUGGUUCCAGGGAAUAGAAGAGUAAAACCAACAAUUCUCACUCUUUUCCCGUUUUUGUUUUUUGUUUUUUUGUUUUUUUUUUUUGCAGCAGAGAAGUCAUCCGUCCAUAAAAGUCGUCUCAGUUAAAUGAAAUGAACCAAGCUUGAUUUGUUGACUUGAGAAAACCAAACAGCAGCCAAAAUCCCUCCAUUUUCUCGAGGUGUGUGUACUAUAUGGGCGACUACGUACGCAAGAAAGAAAGAAAGAAAUUUGUGUUGGUUUGAAGUGAGACAAAACUACAAAAAAGUUGGUUUAGCUGGCGGUGGUACGAAAGAAACGAACUACUGUCCCACGUCACAUAUGAAGUUUCGGUGGGGGCGCGUUUUUGUAUGGUACAAUGAACUUGGUGACGAUGAAUCAAAUUGCCAAUUUGCUUAUCACUUUUUUUGAGAGAGAAGAAGAGAGGAGGAAAAAAAAAAUAAUAAUAAUAAAUUGGUGGGGUGUCAAAAACAAAAAAGUCCACACUGCAAAUCUGCAUGGCCGAAAAUAACACGAAAGAAAAGGGGGGCAGCAACUAACCAUGCCAUAAGAGGGUCAUAAUGUUCAAUGCACCAGGAUGGGUCGGGACUUGGGAGGGUAAGAAAAUAGUAGCGAAAAAGGUUUAAAGUUUUGUGGGCUACUGUUUCUGUCCGUUCCUGUUUCAGACAGCCGGUCUCUACACGCGUACCUGAUCCUGAUUUUGGACCUGUCCAUGUAUGUAUGUAUGUGCCUGUGAUAUGUUUUGAUUGAGACAUUCUCUUACUUUUCUUCCCUUUGAAUUCUUCAAUUUCUUCUACGCUUUUUAUGUAGUUGGAAAAAAUUUUGUACCCUGCCCUGGCAGUUUUUCUUUUUUCCGGACAAAAUUGUACCUCUCAAAGAACAAAACUGUAAUUUUACCUCUUUGUCCUUGGUAACUCUUGGCGAUUACUAGUAUGGAUCUUUUGGGCUAAUUAAUUGUCCUCCGGAGCAUUUAUUCUGGCAACAAUGAGUACCAACUCACUGCCAAAUAAUUGAAGUUCAUAAAGAAAACACAUCCAAAUUCUGUCUUAGCUUAUUACACUAUUUGAAGAAUAUAUCUUAAUCCGCACUUUUGAUGCAUCGAUCAGCUUCAUCAUCACCAUUAGUAUUGAAACUCCUACAAUGUAUUGACCCAGUUUUCGAGUUAUCCAUUUGGUGGUGAAUUUGAUUAAUCGGCUUUGUUUGGAUAUCAAAAAUUUUCAAAUAAUAAUAUUUCGCUCUUAUCAUAAAUAUAUUUUUCAACUUAUCUUUUAUGUUUGUUAACUGUCUGUUUAUCCCACAUGUAUUGCAUCAUAAAAACUGUUACAGUAAUUAUUUCAAAUAAUACUCCGUCUAAAUAAACCCGCUACUAUUUUCUUCCUCAUCAACGCAGCAAAAUUUAAAGCUAACAUGCCAAAGUAUAGUCAGCGUUUCAAAAUCAGAAAACUAGGGAUAAAAAAAAAAAAAAAAAGGCUGUUCUACACUUGCUGCAUAUAUGGCCGGUCAGCAACAAAUGCAUUGGAGCACACAGAAGAAGAAGGUGUGGUCGGGUGGAUCAAUUUGGUCCACGCAAUUUGUGUUGAUUAAAAGAUGUGGGUCGAAUGAUUAGUGUGAAAGACUCAUAUAAUUAAUUAAAAGGACAGAGUAAUUUGCAGCUCGUGUCAGAAUGUACGUCCAGAGAAAAUGAACAAUGAUAAUAAUCGUACGUCGAGAGAGAAUGAAAGUCAUCGCUCGCGUCAAGGCCAAUCAAUCAAAACUCAAAACCCAACUUGCUUGCAGCGGUGGUCUGCAUUUCAUGCAAUUAAUACGCUAAUAAUGUGACAGUUCUUACGGGAUUCAUGAAUUGCUCCUUAAUUUGGCUGGUCACCAAGCAGGCGGAAACAGUCGGAGAAUUUGACAUCCAUAUCUUGAGAUGAGAUGUUAGCUGAACUCGUCCGCCGUCCUUGGUUUUGGAUGUCCUAUCCCUCUCUCGUUCAUGAACUUGAAUCCUCUCCAUGUUGGACUUGGACCCCAUGCAUCGUUUUCAUUGCAGAUGGUUAAUCAGUAGCGAGUCUUUCAGUCUUAAUUUCCGCCCAGGGGCCCUGAGAUUUGAGCUCUCUUUCCAUACAAAUGCAUUCAUCAUCAAAGCGUGAGAACAUGCAUGCACACAAAAUUCGUCAUCGUCAUGCUGUACAUCGUCUCUGCCAUGCAAAUUCUGGAGCGAGCGCUCUGUCAAACUUUGGAAAGUUCUGCUCAGUGCACUUAUCCCCUAAAUCAACGUGCAAUUAACUUUUUCGAAUGCGGAAAGACAGUUAAAAAUUAAUACUACAUAUAAUAAUAAUAAUGUGGUUGAAAAUGUAUAAAUCCCAAAAUGCAUAGAAUCUUGUAGGAUUCUACUUAUGAUCAUGAAAGCAUGAAACUGUAUUGAUCCUAGCUUUUGCCUUAUUUUACAAAUGUAUAUAAGAAGAAAGAAGGAAUGGUAAUCCUAUUUGCUCAAAUUUGUGCAUCGGCCACCAAGUGGUACGUUUUAAGGUGCGAUAUAUAUUUGGCAAAACGUCUAUGUACAUAUAUAUAUAUAUAUAUAUGUAUAUAUGAAAUCGGUUCAUUUAAUCAAUCGCUUUCUUUUUAUUAGCUGCCAUGUUUAGUUAAAGAGAGUUAAUGGAUUAAUAGAUAUUUGGAUUUUAACUCUUUUUUAAACUAAUUUUAAUUAUUAUGAUUUCUAUCUAACUUUUAUCUCGUUCAAUAAAAAUGAAUUACUUUGCUAGCCCACACGUGUGAUUUUUUCAUUAAAUUUAUCGACUUCGCUGAAAGCUGAAACUUCGCUCAUGAGAGAAUCAAUUGCUACACUUUUUUUUUUUUGGUGUUUAACUAAAAGCAAAUAAUAUGUAAUUAGAGGUGUAUAAUCAUUUUAAAAGUAUAAUAAUCAUCUCGAAGCAAAUUUUUCAUUUCCUUUUUUCUAUACAUUGCAGUUUAUUGAUAAAUAUUAUCAUGUUAUGAUAUUAUGAUUUUUAAAAAAAAAAAUUGCAAUGUUAGUUAAAUAUCUAGAAUACAAUUUUCAUUAUCUGACCAAAAAUUAUUUACUUGCAUUACAAACACAAUUUUCAACACACCUCUUUCUCUUUCCAAUUAUCUUUUUAUCUUAUACCACAAAAAAUACUACAGUAAUUAUUCCAAACAAUCUCCUAUCCAUACACCAUGAUAAAUAUCUCAGAAUAAACAUGUAAAAAUAUCGUUGAUAUCUCUUUCUUGAAAUGUUAUUAUCCCUUGGUUCAUAACAAAUCAAAAUAAAAGUAUCCGAAAAAACAAGUAUAAAUUAAACUGACUGUACAUGGCAAAAUAUUUUGGCAAUCUCAAAAUCUUGUUCAGGGCAUCGCGCGCAAACUCUCCACAGUUUUGGCAAAGCAGUCUGCCCCUCCAAAUCUUAUCAAUCCGAAGCCGUGACAAGCGGGGGCGCCUUCCUGCAACAAGGCUGCAAAUCUUUACCUUCACCUUAAAGAAAAGAGCAAUCGUUUUCGUAUGAGAAAAUGUGACAUGAAACGUGUUUAUGAUCCAUUGAAUUUUCGCGCUGUGGAAUAUGGUGUGUGCAUUGAAUGUAAGCUUUGCAGGGCAUGACAUUCAGCCUUACAGGUCCUUCUCAAGAAAUGGGCAGAUAUUUUUUUUCCCCCAAAAAAAAAAAAGAAAAGAAAAAAGUACUGACAAAGGAUGAUUAGGAAGGUAGGUAUGAAGAAGAAGGACGGGAAGGGCUAGGAUGGGUUCAGAUUCAGUGGAAGCUCUGCGAAAUGUUAAUAAAUCUUAUCACUUACCAGUUCCCACUUGUGUUGUAGUAAAUCUUAAAAAAUAUAACCAUGGUCCCAUUGGCAUUAUGCACAAAGAGGGCCAAUUCAAGGAAUCUAAUAAGUUGAUCGAGAUGGAUAUUCAAAAAAAGAUGAACCGCGAGUUUGGUUUAAAACACACCAACUUGGACUGUUUUGCUAAAUGGGAUCUUGAAAAUUAAUCAGUUUUUCAAAUUUGAGUUAGAGACCUUUUGCUAUACGUAAGUAGCAGUGCCUUUAUGUUCAACUGCAUGUAUAAAUUGUCCACCUGAUGACCGGUGGUGUACAGGCAAUUUUUUGCCGGCAAGGGAACCAAUUUGCUCCUCCUCCGCAUCAAAAUUGAUUGAUUGAUGACUACAAGAAUCUAGGACCAAUAUUGUUAGUAUAGGAUGCGUAGCAGCAAUGCCGGACUGCCCCCCAGCUUUCAAGUUUGACGAGUAUUUUCUAAAACGUUUUCAUGUAUUUCUGGUCAGUACGCCGUUUUAUGAUUCUUGUGAUAGAUUGCAGCAGCAGCAGCUAGCGGCAUUGAUGGCAAGAUAUGCAAUCGUAUUGGAUGUGUCGAACUGCAGCAUUGGCCUUUCUUUUUUUCUUUUCUUUUUUCAAUAAUUAAGGAGCGUAUCUUAAUCUGAUCAACACUACCGGAAAUGCCCCUAUAUUAUAUAUCAGUUUCUAUCAACUAAUUCUCUCUAUUCUUUGGGUAGGGUUACUUUUAGUUUGGUUUAAUUCGGCUGCAGGUCUUUAAAAUAGAAAACAAAAAUUAUUAAUUAUUACACGCAGCCAGCCCCAAAUGACACCUUAACUUGCUGUCACAUUCCAAAAAAAAAAAAAAAAAAAUGAAAGCUCUCGAUCAUAAAGACUCCAUGAACAAGGCAAAUAUGUGCAGCUGUCAAGUGAAGAGUGUCAGAAAUCAAAAGAGUGCAGAUUGGUGCAUGGAUUUGGAGAUGCUUAUUGCUUAACCCAAAAGCAAAAGCGAUAGGAAUUCCUGCACUUGCAGGUUUCAAUUCUAUUAAAUCCAAUCCACGUUGCGUUCAAAACCAAUUCUAUCUAUUAUAGGUGCUUGCAUGCAUCAAACCUUUUGCGUUGAUUUUUUCAGAAAAUUUUGUGUACAUCAUAAAGUGAUUGUUGAGUGAUCGCUAUCUAAUCUAAUUUAUAAUCUUCUGUGAAGAUGUGAUGGGAUCCUAACUUAACACAAAUUGAAAAAGAAAAAUAUCCGUAUGACGCUGGAUGAUUUCACGUACAGCUAAGCAACUGAACAUUAAUAAAAUUAAGGGUCCGUUUGUUUCGGGUGAAAAUGUUUUCCAGGAAAAUAUUUUCCUCAUUUCCCGUGUUUGGUUGUACAAAAGUUACUGAAACCAUUUUCCUAUGUAAAAUAUUUUCACUCAUCUUAUGGAAAACAACUUCCCUUCCAAACUUACUGAAGUUGUUUUCCGAAAUGCAUGCAUCCCGCCUGUAGUAUGUUCCAAACUUACCGAAAACAUUUUGUAGUAUGUUCUUUUUUUUUUUUUAGUGUAAACAGGAGAACUCGAACCGAAGACCUCUUUCUUACACUCCCUCCCCUGUACCACCCAACCCAACCCAACCCUCCCCUAGUAUAUUCAAAAUAAAAAAAAAAAAACCUCAUCCUGCUCAUCCUAUGCUAGUAAUUAAUUAUGUAUAAUAGGGACAUUCUUUUCUAGAGAAACUUUUAGCAGUGAGAGUGCAAGAUAUAUGUCACAAUAAGCAUUGCAUGUGAUUGAUAUUUGACACUAAAUGGCCAGCAAUUUGUUUAUUGCUUGAGGAGAUAUUUUUUAUUCAUAUAUACAUUUUUCCAAGAUUUUUUAAAGUUAAACAAUGAGAUAAAUUUUCUUAUUUUGCAUGGGAAGAAGUAUGUAGUUAUAAUGUGUAGAAAGUAAAGAUAGAGAUAAAAGUGAAAAUAUUUCAAAAGUUAAACAAACACCAUAAAAAUGAAGUAAGAAAAUAUUUUCAAUAAGCUAACCAAACACCUGAAAAUGAUGAAAGGGAAAUGAUUUUCAUGGAAAAUUACUUCCACGCAAGGAAAACAUUUUACUUCCAACCAAACAGACCCUAAGAAGAGGUUCCAAUGGCGUAUUGAAAGAAGAGAAAACUAAAUUAACGGCAGAAAAGAAAAGCUUUGCAAAAAUACUACUCUACUAUAUGUGCACAGGGAGAGAGAAUCAGCUGUGUGAGUCUUGAAGCACCUGAAAAUCCAGCUAUUCCUUAAUUAACUUGUAAUCAAUCAAUCAAUCAAAUUGCCAUUGAUACUACUACAUCUUUUUUAUUUGGUAUUUUCACAUUAGCUUAUAGUACAAAUAAAAGGAAGGAUUAGAUAAUGAGGGAGCGGAAGGGCUUUCAACGAAACGAAUGUACAGGGCAAAAGACAAUUGCUGAAGACACGGGAAUUCGUUAAAUUGGUCAAAUGGGUUUUGUUGAAUUUAGGAAUUGGAGUUGAGAGAGACCAGAUUCAAUGUAGUCUUCAUUGAUAAAGAUCAACUUGUUUAAAAAUACUCCUUCGCUUGUCCUGGCGCGGGUUGGUUGGAUAGUAUAAAUAAAGACAAUACAACAAGAAGGUUUGCUUGCUUUAUUUUAUGGUACUACUACUCCUACUAUUCUGCCCCAUUAGUUGCUUGUGGUACGGCACCCGCAAUCUAGAUCCUUUUUUGUUUUGGCUUUCCAGCCCAGCUUCACGGUUUGAACCCCGUCAGGCAAGUCAACUUGAGAAAACGAAAUUGGGCAUACAUCAAUUUCCCAGUAGCGAGGGAUUCCAGCAGUUUAGCAAAAUUAGAACUCAAAAAAACGUCUAGUGGUUGAAUUUGUGAACCAAUGAAAAAGCAAAUACCACUCACGGUACGCAUUUGUUGGUUCACAGAAGUGAGAAAGGAAGGUCCACUUGCACAAGUUUCAUUUUUCACUCUUUGGGCCUGCACCAAAUAAAUAAAACUGAAAUAGAAAGGAAAAAGGCAGUGCUAAAUUCAUAGCACCCAAAAAAACAUGAAGAAGCUUAGACGUAAGAUGCUGCUUCCUGUUCUUUAGUUCUAACCACCACUUGCAUAAGAAUGCAGAGAGGAAAAGAGAGUUUGAGAUCACCCCAGUUCAGGAGUAGUAAUCAACCAUCCAGCUUAAAUGAUUAACAAACCAUCACCAUUUAGCCCAGACAGCAAUAUGCCGAAUCUCACUCGCCUCAUCUUAAAUUAUUCAUCCUUUUAGGAGCACUUCAAUGAUAUUUAACACACUCUAAUAAUCAAUAGUUGCGGAUACGUAAUCGCAGCUUAACAAAAAGAAUGCGAUAAAAGUUGCGAGCAUUAAUCAUAGAGCCAGAUGAACCAAAAGAGAGAGAGAGCAUAAGAAACAUAUAAAUCAGUCAGAUGUAACAGGCAGUAUUAGCAUUAUAUUUACAAGAUCUCAAAAUGCAUCCUGUAGAAAUACACAGUUAACUGGUGAUUUUGUAUCUAUAAAGGUGGUAUAGAAGGAGAAGCAUAUAUAUUUUGAAUAGAUGUGGAACUACUCAGCCAAAUUAAAAAAGCCCAUAAAAAUUCUCAGUUCCAAUGUCACUUAUCCUCUUCUUCUUGCCUUCUCUCUCUCUUUUCCUCCCCUCAGGGAAACUAUACACCAAAUGUCAUGAAACAAAGAAAACAGCGAAUUCUCAUUUACUGAAAUAAACUAGGUGCACUUCCAUCAUAGCUCUUUAGUCAUAUAAACCUUCUUGCUCCCAAAUAUCCACGAGAAAAUCAACCAUUUCCUGUCAGUCAAAGAUAUUGGCCGGUCAGAUACGAGCCCUGCUAGACUGAAGUCUAAUGAAUCACCGUAAUUAUAAUAGAACCAAGAUAGUGCAAGAGACCCCCCCCCCCCCCCCCCCAAAAAAAAAAAAAAAAAUUUGCAAGAAACUUACAGAGAGAGGAAUUGGCUGAGGAAAACGCUUGUUAGUCCCCAGCAAGCUUUCGUAACUUGCAUUCCAACUGCAACAAGAGCAAUGAAUGAGGCUAAAGGAGUAGGGACAGUAUUUACGUAUGAAAACGAGAGGAUAGAAAGCUAAGAAGAACUGAAUCAAAGGAAUAAAAUCAAUUCUGACACAUUUGAAUAUCAUAUAUGUUGGAGCUUAGCAAAGCCUGAAAUUAUACUUUCUAUAAACCUAGUAAACAUGAAUUACAUUCGUCCUGAUUAUACUCUAAACAACAUAAUACAACUCAAGCUACGUCACAAGGCCACAACAUGAUUGCAGAAUUUAAAAUUCCACCACGAAACAAGAAUAAGAGUGAGUGGACACCUUAAGAUGGGUUCCUCAACUUGUUUUUGUGUCUCUGACUUUUUACUUCCAAUCCACUGAAGCCUUGCCUGGUUCCAACGAAGAUAGCCUACGCUUGGGAAAACAAGAAAAUUAGAAAGUUGCGUCAUAAAUGAUUUAGCUGAACUGAGAAGAAUGUGUCAUAAAUGAUUUAACUCAAUCAAGAUUCUUCUGCAGCAUGCUUGAAGCUACUUCCUCAUUAGGAACAAAGACGCAUAAGAGAAAUACGAAAGGAAGAAGAGGGGAAAAUGACCCGAGACCCCUUCCUUUUCAUACCGUCAUCAUGCAUUGACCAAAAAACUAUUGCUUCAUUCACAGCAGAAUAGAAACUAAAUCAUUAACACAUAAAGGACGAACUUUGCUACUGAAAGCUCAACCAACAGUACAGAGGAGAUUGUAAAGUAUACUUGCCAUGAUUGACAAAUUCUGAGUGGUUAAUACUGUUGCCAGUGCCACCUUGUUGACUGAGGCUCUGAUUUGAUAUACUGAUGGAUGACAUACUUCUCUGAGAUUGAACCAUACUGUUCUCCAGGUCACAUGUGCUGGUGCUCCAGAAAUCUUCAGAUAUGCUGGGUUUCUUAACUAGCCGACCUUGAAUUCUCAAUCCCUUUGAUGGCUCAUCCACAGCAAUGAUCGGCUGAGAUUUGGUGCAGCAACCAAAACAACCUCUGUUCUGUUACAAUUCAGGUUCAUUAACAUAUACAAUACAUGCCAGAAGCAAGAUAUUCACUUUUUGUGUCCCACAACCAGAACUUAGUUUGUUGUUUACUGUUCACUUUUGCAGUAGCAUGAGCAUUUGCCAUGAUUUGUGUUUCGGGAAAAAAAAAGAUCUGAUUCCGAAGUAAGAUCAUGAUUUCUCUAUGUUGCAGAAGGAUUAGCAAACAUUCACACAAUUACAAAACCUUUUUUUGUUUUCAAUAUUUGUGUAGUUUAUAGUUUACUGUUCACUAAUGCAGUAGCUUAAAAAUUUGCCAUGCUGUGUGGCGAAACCAAAAAAAAAAAAAGAGUAUCUGCUUCCGACGUAAGAUCAUGAUUUCUAUUAGUUGCAGCAUUCACACACACCAAAAAAAAAAUUUGUUGUCAAUAUCUUUCCUAAUCCAGGUGAUGAGCAGGAAGUUUUCAGCCAUAGGUGUACAACAAACGGAACUCAAGAUCAGUUAAUAUUAAGAAAUUGACAAUUUUGGAGAUCAAGACCACUACAAGACAUCAAUUCCUAGCACUCAAAAAUAAGACAGCUUUUGAGCAAUAGCAAUGAAGUUUACCAAACGUGUGCUAAGCACACAGACAUAUGUAUAAACAGAACACCACAUAACAGUUAAGCAGAAAACAUGAAAACAUGCAUAACCUUUUGGCCUGGCAUAAUGGAAGGAGAACAAAGAAGAAACUAGAAACAAAUUUAUCGGCUAAUUAAUGGGCUAAGAAGUCCUGAAAUUAGGAUACUUAAAAGACAGCAUAUUCCCUCCUCCCUUUUAUCCUUUCCAAUUUCUUUCAACUUCUUUGCUUCAUGAUUCCAACGAGCAGGAGAUCUGUGUUUGGCUCUCUUUUCAGAUUAGGCCUAAGCACCACAUUCAAUUUUUCUCUACAGAAAAUUCCUUAUGACUCUUGUUCACUCAGAGUUCUUUCUUCAACGCUUCUUUGCUUCGCCUCAUAGCUAAUCAGCACCUAGCACCUACUACCAGGAAAAAGAAUCCAUGGUUUUACCUGCAAGGACUGGUAUAACUUAUCCUAAACAAAAUGCCAAUUAAAAGAUUCAAGCUCCACGCACAAAAUCUUUUCUUGCUUAAUGCACUAUCAGAAGAAGAGUAUGGUUUAUAAGAUCAUUGAGGCAAUCAUGAAUUACCUGAGAAGAAUGUUACUCUUCAAACUUAGACCUACAGGUUUCAGGUCCUUACCUCCAGUAACUUGUGACUUUCCACAGUAACAUAAGCAAAGAGGAAAUGAAGAAGGAGAGAAAUGGGAGGAGACAAGAAGGUCUGCGAUGUCCAGGACCAAGUUAGAGUAAUCAACCACAUACCAGCACACUAGCAUGUUUAACAUUCAAUCCUUCUGUAUCGCAGCCACCAGAUGUGACUUCAAUACUUUCCAAGCAGAAGACAACAACAGGCUACUGCAUACUUUGGACAGGGAGGUUUCAAGGACACCAGACCAGAAAACUAUAAUCACCAGUUCGAUAUUUCUAAGAAGACACUAAAUUAACCUCCUAGCAAGGUCCAAAUAUACCUACCCUCCUAUUUAUCUUAUUUACUACAUUGGAAGAAUUUUUUCACCACAAAAUGGUAAAUGUUGUUUACUCCAACUACAUGUCCUGUAAUCAUUACUCCUAGCCAGCAGAAAGCAAUUUGCAGCACCUGUAUUUGUCAGGAUAUCGCUCCAAUCACAAUUAUAGAUAAGAAGGAUAUUGGAGUAUUGGGCUGGCUGUUUUCAAUCAAAAUGGUACUUUAGCAUUUAUAAUAAACAAAGACACUGUUUUAACAGUAUGGAAACAGAAAAUGGAGCAAUACUGCUGUUUAGAGGAAGACAUAGAAGAGCAUACCCCCAGUCAUAAUAUUUCAAGUAUUUACUAAACAUAUUCUGCAACUACAAGUAUGAAUUGUAAAGAGAAAGCACAAUCAGUAUUUAGACUUGCAUUCUCUAAUAUAAAUCUACAGUUUUAAAGGCAUUAACAUGUUUUGAAGGAAAAUAACACUCUCAUACAACCAGAAGCGCAUACAAUUGUACACACACCAUCUCAACCGUAAUAGUUGUUGUGUUAUGAUCAUUUGAAUGGUGUCUGAGUCAUCGAAAAAGAAACAAAUUCUAACAUUUAAGUGCAUAAUUCACGGUCUCAAACAUUAAGUCAAACACUGUCUCAGUGUAAUCCUUCGCUUAUGCCUAUUGCAUACAUCCAGGAAGUCAUAAUAGUAUGUAACAAAAAGCUCAGCCAAGCUUCACACACACCAUAUAGUAUAUAAACAAGUCUGGUUGAUCUUACAUCUCCUUUUUCAGCAUUUUUCACUUUCUCAACUAAUAAUAGAUCAUGUUUUUACCAGUUGAUUAGUUUCAACUCUUUCCCUUCAAAAGAAUCAUGAAUGUGCAAGUAGCAGCCUGGAAAAGUCUAGUUUCUCUAUCUUUCCAUCUUAAGUACUAAAAAGAGAGAGAGAAAAAAAAAAAAAAAAAAGCAGAAAAAUUGCAACCACAAUAACCAGACAAUACAAAGGUCCGUACACCACCGCAAAAGAGACAAAAUAGAAGAACUUUUUACCUGGCAGACAGUUUUAGAGUUUUACACAAUCCAGUUGCCACUUUUGAGACUACGACAACGGAAGAUAACGAGCAAAAGGUAAAGAAUAGAAAAAACAAAUUAAAUACGACUGUGUUGUCCAAAUUUGGUAAACAAGAACAACCCAUCCCACUCUUAAGUCUCUAGAAUCAAAACAUCUAAUUAUAACCACAAAAAGAGCCAGCCCGAGCUUUCCAGUAUAAUUCUUUAGUUCUCCAUGCUUCUAAACCAAACAAAAAAAUAGAAGCCCCUCGAAACAGAUAACAGAACUUCAACGGUCAAUACAACGGAGAGAACAGUAAUAGGAAGAGACAGGAGCCAAUGAUAAGAACCAGAAUAACUUACCCCAUGCAAGCAAGAAAGCUGCUGAUCCAAUCAGUGAAAGAAGUGUACAGCAUCAUAUACCUAAACAUGAAGCGGCAUCAAAUUAUAAAAACCCAAUCUCUAUUUCCAAACGGCCCAGAUCAACCAAACCCAACAUCAAGCUCCAAUCAUUAAUCCAGCCCUGCAAACAUAUUUGAAGAAAAGUUAAAAAGGGUCGAUAGUUUCUAUGGAAUUUUCACUGUCAAACAAGCAGAUAUUUUAGGAUGGCUACUUAUAUAUGCAUAAUACUCCAUAAAUACCUGCAACAGCACUAGGAAAUACUACUACUACUCCCAUUACCAUAUGCGGCCAGUUGAUCAGCAAACUGCUGGCUACAAUCACACCUAAAUCCUAAUUUGUGAAAUUGGGCGGGGGCGGAUUGUGAAGCGGUGAAUUUGGGAGCGGGACUGUUUGUUUGCUGGGGUGAACCAACCGAAAGUCGAAAGUGAGCGGUGGUUAAGUUAAGUGGGUAAUUUACGAGAGGGUUAAGUGGGGCCCGCUCGUUGUUAAACCUUUUCUACUUACUAACUUUCACUAAAUCCAGCUAGGAUUAUAGUGGUUAAUUUCAGCGACACGCGCUUCUUCCUUUCCCACGUGCGAUUCCCCUCUUUUCCUUUUUCUUUUUCUUUUUUUGAGGACCCCAAAAAAAAAAAAGAAAAAUAUCUUCCUUAGUAAUUGACCUUCUAUUGCACGAACAGCUGCUGGCCAUUAAAAUUAUUGAGUUGGACUUGAAAAUAAAUUCCUUCAAUCUCGAAAUAAGCAUCUGAUAUCAUAGAGUGAAAUUGUUUUUUUUUUUUUUUUCAGAGUGAGUUUAACAGAACAGCUCAAUUCAAGGACUGAUAAUGCAAAUUUUCAAGCCAUACACAGUAGUACUUUCCACGAUCUUAGGAUGCCAUCUCAUCUGAGCGAAAUAUAUAUAUAUAUUGGUUGUUGAGGGCCUUCGGGCCCUAUUCCUGUCUUUCCUUAUCCUGCAGUACCAUUCAGCUUUUCCCAUUUGGGGCAAAAAAGUGUCGGUUGAUACUCACUCGAGAAACUAGAAGGAUAGCUACAACAGUAUAUAUAUUGUCUCUUGACAACUCGCUAAUUUGGUACACAAAUCUGCUGCAUGAUUUUGUCAAUCUUAAUGACAUCUGGCUUUGCACUAAAGCUUCCGCUAACAGUAAUUUGUGUGCGAAAUGAUUGCUAGAUGAAUAUGAUGGGCUAAAGUUAGGUCCCUGAAUCCAUGGCCAAUCAUUCAACGAACCGGUUCAAAUCAAUUAUUAGAGCCGGGCCGGCUAUUGAAAACUAUUGACUAACCUUUUCAAGAACAAAAAAAGCCCUUUGUCCAUUCUGCUCGUUUAAUUCUUUCAGCCAUGGAUACAACGUAGUUGAGUUUCGGGAAGACAAAACACAGAUGACAUAAUUUUGAUGGGCUAAUAACAUUAUCUAUCACCAAAACAGUUUAGCAAGCUGCGCUGCAAGAGCAACAAAAUUCGAACAUAUACUCCCAUGCGUUGGAAAGUUUGAAAUUCUCCAGCCAAAUCUUCUACUGCUUAGUGGCACGAUUUAGCAAAAUUGAAGCCAGACCAACUCUCCACCAAGGUGUCACAGAGGGCUCAGUCUUCUUGGAUAUAAGAGAAGGCAGACCUGUGUGAACGCUGCUACCAAGUGUACCCUCCGGCUUGCUACUUGUCACAGAAGAACUAGUGAAGAUACGCACAAAAAGAAAGAAUCAAACGGCUGGUCACGAACUGUAUCACCAGAACGUGUAAUAUGCGUAGUGCUAGAGGUGGUUGCUAAAUACAAAUCACAAGAGCAGGCAUACAAUAACUAGUUUUCUCUUAAAAAGGAACACUCAAAAUUGUUAAAAUUUUCCCAGCUUCAAUAGAGCGUGAUGGCUAAGUGACGCAAGUUCACUUGUGCGUUUUGACUAAGGAUCCGAAACACAAUCCUGCUAGAUAUGCAUUCCAUAACUGACGAUGCUGCUGUUGUUUUGACGUUUUCAGAAACGUCAUGAUGUAAAAGUUCAAUUGCAUAGCACAACUUGGUCCUUAAUUUAGAUAACAAAAUAAGGUGCCCACAUUAUCAUGCUUUCUUGCUUUAAGAAAGUCAGAGAAGCCUUGUGGUCUAACCAAGUUGUACUACUUCUCUGAUUUGUAAAAUGAUCAUAAUCUAUAGUUCAGUUAAUCCAGUAUAGCAGCAACAUUGUAAAUUAACCAGAAUAAAAGACAAAUUUACAUGACUCACCUCCAAGUGAAUAAACCCGAACACAGCAACUUAAAAUCCCAUCUCUAUCACAAACUUAUGCUCGAGUCUCCAUUGCAAAUUUGUUGUGCCUUACAUUAGUAAUUUAUAUAGGGUUUCUGAUAUGUAAGCAGGUGGUCUGUUUAUUUUACAAGAACUCAGUCGUCAUCCCUCAGGUAGUCUGCCUACUCUAAUGCUUGGCAGAAAAUAAGCAUGCAUAAAAUAACUAAGCAUGAAAAAACUGAAAUUAUACGCAAGAAAAAAAAGAGCUCAUUUGAGAGUGCAUACAUCAGGGGUCUUGGAGCUUCAUAUGCAAAUGUGGAAAUGCCCUGUCGUUGCUUGUGCUUGGGAUUAACUGAGCACAGCACAUACACUCGACCACGUCGUUUAACAGUUCGACAGAACUCACACAUUUUCUUAACUGAUGACCUAACCUUCAUAUCUGCGGACAACAUAUCAGUCAGGGAAAAUCAUGAGCUUACAGAAUCUACAGACAAGUACAACAAAGUUUCUUAUAGAUAAAAUGCUACCACUGGCGAACCAUGCAACCAAAAAACUUCAUAAGAGCAGUUUGAUACCUAGCUAACAGCAUACAACCAUUCAACAUAGCAAAACGCUGAAAGGAGAAAUGACAAUAUUACAGAUGCAUAAUCAACUGAUCAAUAAGGCAGUUGCAGCACAGAUUACGUUAUUAAUCAUAUUUAUCUUCACUUCAUUCACAUUCCAGACAUAAGAAUAUAAAGUGCCCUCAAACCCAAGAAACCAUCUACGGCUGCUAUAAUGGACCCUAUAUGACCUCCAACAUAGGAACAAAACUUUGAUUUAAUUUCAUAUACAUAGUCAGCAAUUCUUUAGGAAAUUUCAAGUUUCAUAAUCUGUUCUUUGAGAAACUAGAGUUCUUUAGCUUCUCAGUCGUCUAUCACAUCUCAAAAUAACCAUUUCGGUCAGCAAUAAUCCCUCAGCCUGAAAUCCAAUUGAACAUUUAUUGGAGACUGGUUUCUUUAGUUAAAGCGCACAAGUCUGGACAUGUUGUCAAGCUUCUCUCCUGCUACUUCAAGCAAUCUAGCCUCAAGUACAAUCCAGUAAAUAAAGCAGAUAAGUUGAAGAACAAAGAUCCUCAUAUGUCAUACGUACUAGAGAAACAACGUGUGACAAGUAAAAUGAGAAUGCGCGAUUUUUUUUUUAACCAUCAAUGGAAUUCGUAUAUUUUUAAACUUUCCACUUUAAACUAAAAACUAAUAAUCCUGCAUCAAAACACAUGGUCUACCUCACAGCAGAACUAGACAUGCAAGGACCUUUAUACAUGACGCAUAAAUCUGAACUGAGCCAUGAGGCUAUUUAGUAUCAACAUUUCAUAAUCCCACAAGAUCAUCUAUUAAGUACCUUAGCCAUGAGGCUAAAUCCCAAAGAAAACUGGAGCUGAAAACAUUUUCAGGAUUGCCCAAUAUUAAAAGGAAAUGAUGCAAAAUACCCAGAGAAGAAGGAAAAAUGCCCGUUACUUUCUUUUUUUUUAUUAUUGUUUUUCAGCAACAACAUAUUGCCAUAGCUGAAUCUAUAGUUUUUACCAGUCUUUCCAAAGCUAUUAAAACAGAAGGGUUGCAUUGAAAACCAACUUGAAUCUUGAAGGGGGGAAAAAAGAAAAAGAAAAUUCAUUUCCUAAGAGCAGCCAAAGUUUACUACUUAACUUUCUCGUAAACCAAAACCCUUCAACUGGAAAGAAGCAAUUAACAACCUUGGUAUGUGUAUGGAUAAGAAAUCAAAAAUUCAAAAACCGACUAGACGACGAUUUGGGAGAGUGAAUAAACUCGUAAAAAACACUAAAUUAAAUCCAGGGUUUUCGAAGUUAAUAAAAGAUUGUGCAGAAAAAUUGAUCAAAUAAGAAGUUACCAGAAUGAUAAAAGGGAUGUUUAUUGCAAUUUUUUGCUUCGACGAUUGCAGAAACUGAAGAUGGAGGGCGAGGCUGCGGCACCGCCGAGCUAAAAAAUAAUAAAAUAUUAGUGGUAAAAUUUACGCUGGUUUCAACGUUGGCCCAUAGAGAGCGGGCUUAAGAAGUGGCUUCUAAACCCAAUUUGGAAAUGCAAAUGAUUUUAUCUGUUUGUUGAGUUGGGCUGGAGCCCAAUGUUGUAAAAUUUUCGUAAGUUUUCCAUGUGGGAGUUAAGCACAAAAUUAAAAGAUGAGAUUGGGGGCCAUCAUAUUUUGGAAAUUUUUAAGAUUCAUUUAGGAUAUCAUUCAUUCAUUUUGGAAAUAGUUUAUAUUUUAAAAUAUUGAAAUUGUCAUCAUCUAUGAGUCAAAACAUUUAUUUCAACAUUUAAAUAUAAAUUUAAUUUAGAUUAUGAUACUCAAAAAAUUUAUUACUAGAACCGGGAAAUUUAUAGAAGACAAAAUAUUGCCAAAUUAACAUUUGAGAUAUCACAAUAAUUACAGCGAAGCAUCGCUUGGGAUUUCAGAACAAUUACAGUAAAGAAUAAAAAUCCCAAGCAAGAUUGAGAUAUUUAAAUUCGCACUAAAAUAUAAAAGAGUAAAUCUCAUGUAUACUGACAGUGUGUACACAGACUAUCACGGUGAAAGUAUUCAACGGUAUCAUACAUUCAAUGGUGAAAGUGUAUAGGCUAUUAAUAUAUAAGAAGAUUAAUCAAAAAUAAAAACCAUUAAAACUUGGGUUAACGUGUUCCAGAAGACGGAGUUAGCAUUUGGGCCAAUAGGUGGCCGUUAACAUAUAUAUGUAUUUUCCAGGAACCAUCUUAAAGUUGCCGUGGCAUGGGAAGUUGGGAACAUGACAAAAGAUGGAAAGCUCAAAAAACCCAACCCAAUAAUCUCUUUAUUUCCCCAAGAUAAUCUCUUUGCUUCAGACAACGGAACGGGCAUCAAGUCAUCAACUAAUUAAAUCACCACCUGGACUUGUUGGCGAACCAGAAACAUUCUGGGCGUUAGUUUCCCAUUUAAACACGACUGAUUGCACAAUUAAGGCAGUAGAUUACACAAGCAAGGAUACGAUUUGAUUAAAUAAAUCCCACCUGCUGCCGUCAUUAAGUUACAAUAAUUUUUGGCGGACGCUCAAUUAUUGGUUAAGAAGGGUUGAUCCUGAUCUUGAUCUAGCCUAUGGCAGGCCAUCUCCUCAGCCAGCAGCCCUUACUCCUCAGGGCCAAAUGAUUCGACCAACCCUUUUAAGCAGGACCACGUUGCUCUGCACCACAUCUUCCGCUCCCGCAUUAAUUAAAGUUGUUAUUAAAUUAAUGUAAUGGCCAUGUUAUACAAAGAUCUUUAUGUCGAAUGUGUCGAGGCUUCCAUUUAUCUAACUUUGUUUUGGGGGGAGGGGAGUUUUCAAUUAUCUCGACAGUUGAAAAAGAACGUGUCGAGGCUUCUUUGCCUCUCCUUCUUAAUAAUGGUUACUACUAGCGUAAAAUGGGAUUAGCCCCUCUACAGCCAUGAUGAUGAUCAAUUACACGACGAAAGAAAUUUAAGGUGUGUCACGGUUUGAUUAGUUAACCUUGACUACGAAAGGUCCUUUGGGUUUCGUCAUGGGAAGAAAGGAAUAAGAAACUUUUAUUGGAUGGAUUGGCGUCAUUUCUAGAAGCUCUUUCCUCAAGUUAGUCAAGGGUGUUGGGCCAACGCUAUGCUUGUUGACAAUUAAAUGAGGUUACCACAAAGUUGAUGGGGUCAGAUGGAAGGACCCGGAAGCAUCUAGCAUUGAAUAAGAUUUGCACACGCAAUGCCCUGCUGUUUCACAUCUGCGGUAAUAAUACCUGUUCAAAUUCCACGUCUAGUCAUAGGAUUGUUAAAUGGCUCGGGUCAGCUCGAGUUCGACCCCAAAAAAACCUCUGAUUUUGGGUAUAAACAUUAUAUUCGAAUUAAAUAUGAGCUGAAUUUGGAACUUAUUAGGCUCAAAUUUGAUAUAAAUCCGGUCAUUUAAUCUGCAUCUAUAUAUAUAAUUAUAUGUAUAAUAUCACUAAUAUUUUAUAGUUAUGAGUUAUGUGUCAAAAUAUAUAUUUAUAUAUAUAUAUAAGAAAUAUUAAAUAUACAAAAUUAUGUCAAACGAUUUUGAAGGAAAAAUCUUAGUACGAGUAUAUUGAGAACCUUUAAUGAUGUAUUGACUGUUAAUCAUGUUUUAUUACUAUUUUUAUGUACUUUGAAUUAAUUGGAUACAUUAUUGUUGAAAAUUUAUUAGUUUAUAUACUUUUUAAUGAACUAUUACUGGUUUGUUUAUAAUUUUAAUGUUGUGGUCCUGUGAAUGUUAUAUUAGGUUUAGAUUUUAACAGUUAUAAUAAUUUUAUUAAAGAAAUUAAAAAGCAAUACACGAGACUGAGCUAAGCCCGAAUUAGAUUCACGCUCGAAUAUUUUGUGAGUCAAAUAUAAAUUUUACGUUAUCAACCUCAAACUCGUAAUUCAAAACUUAAAAGCGAUAGUCAUUACAUGAGCCAAACCUAAACUUGUUAAAAGCCGAUUCAGAUGGUCCCAUUGACAGCCUACACAUAGUUAUCACUUUUUUUCUGUCUACAUAUGGUAUUACCAUUCAAGACCACGACAACAUUUGUGAUUAAAAAAAUUUUUGCUUGUGGGUAAAACUUAGUCAUAACUUUACUCAAUAGACAAGUUUUCUUUUUAAUUUUAAGAUCAUGUUUAACAGGUGUUAUAAUAAAUUAGCUGUUUAUAUACUACUAGGACUUACGCAUAAAGUACUUGCCCCGGAAGAUACCAACAAGCAACGACAUGCAGGCAGGAACUUUCUAGGAAAUUUGAAAUUUCGAGGUUGGACUUCAAUUCGGACUUUGGCGAGAGGACCAGUGGUAAUUUCAUUCAUACGACGUCAUGAAUAAACUAAGCAGUAUACUAGCUAAUGCCAAGAUUAUCAUGCAUUGACCUAACUAAUUAAUGGGUUUAGCUAUGCUAAAUCAUAGUUUGGCAUCUCCAAAUUAUCUUCUUUUCGAAAGAGAACACUCGGGCCAGUGUGUUAUGCUCCAGGUGUGUGGAAAGGAUCAUUGAACCAUGGAUUCAUGACGACUAGUUAAGCUUGGAAGACAUGAUUGAUUUGUUUGAACUUCCUGCCUUGCAAGUACCCUUUCCUUUCUGUGUUUCUUUUCCUACCAGGUCAGGGGUUCAAAAUUCAAACACAAAAGGAGCAGAAGAGAGUAGAAAAAAGGCGGUAGAAAGAAAAUUAGUUUUUCUUUUUGUGCUAAGAGAUGUGUGUUUAAUUGGUACUGGUAUUAACGUGGCAAGUUUCAUAUGUAUGGUGCAUGCAAGAUUUUUCUCAUUAUAAUUUAACCAUUUUGCAGUUCAUCUUAUUUCCUUCUACUUAAUCCCUUUUUUAAUCACUUCUUUUUUUUUCUUUCUUGAAAAUUAGCUAGCAAAUUUAGGCAGUAGUGUAAUAGGAAUCUAUCACCCCCAGUGGGUAGCUCGGCUGGCUCCGAUCGUCCGUCUUUACAGCAAGGCCACAGGUUCGACACCCACUUGCUACUGUUGUUGGACAUCUUUGGGGCAAGCUCUAUCCAGCCUGGGGGAUUAGUCCAGGUGAUUUCGGAAUACCUCUCUAGACUGUAAAAAAAAAAAUAUAUAUAUAUAUAUAAUAAUAAUAAUAAUAAUAGGAAUCUAUCGACCACGCCUACCCUUAAACUUCACGUGGCUUGUCCACACCUGCAAAGGGAUGAAGCAGUGUCUCCUCACAUCCUGUUUCCAGUGCUCUUUUCUUAUAGUAUAUGUUUAUAAAGAUUACGUAAAAAAUUUUGAGAUCUUUUUUUUUUUUUUAAAAAAAAAAAAUACUAUUUGUUAGGAUGAUUUAGUAGCACAUAACAAAUUUCAGAUGACGAUGAUAAUGGAGUCCAACAAUUAUGGACAACCUGCAGAACUUUGGCCAGGUAAAGACAAUAAAAUUCUAGUAUUUUUAUUCAUGUUACAUCACCAAAAGGCCACAGCAGAUUAGGCAAACGCCAAUCUUCCAUAGGCAAUCUGCAGAUUCUCUGCUGGUCCGUGCCAUACACAAAGUGUUAAAAUUCAUUUCAUGCAACCCACUCCUACUCCAUCAGACCCUUUUCAGUUGCCCAUGCUUUGCUCUUUCUAUAUAGCUUUCUAUAUUUGGCCUCUUUUGACGCGUAUGCCUGGCCAAUCAGAGGCUGAAAUUUAUUUAGACUAAGAACAGCUUUAUAUGCUGCCCCCCAAAGACGCCAAGCAGAACACAGAUUCUAUGAACCAAAGAAAAGAUAACGAAAGAAAGGAGUUGGAAAAAAAAAAAACAACAACAAAGAUCAAUAUUUUUUUUUUUUUGGAGGGCUUGAUGCCACACUAUCAAUGGUCAAGAAUGAAGAAUUAAUCCAAUGGUGCAGACGGCCCUCUUCUGACUACUUUAUACAAUAAUAUUAAAAUACUAGUGCAAGUUAUAGAUGUAUAGGUGUCGGGUUGUACAAUACACAUACAUAUGAACAUGUGAUGUGAUGAGGUCUUUCUGUCUAAGGACUACAUCAAUAGAGAACUGAAUAAACACAGGACUACAUCAAUACAUGAGCCAUACAAAUGUUUAGUGAUACAGAAGGAAAUGAUGAACACGCAUUCACACAUAUAGAUGUGUGAAUUCGUGGAUUAAUUGAAUCUUUUCUUAUAAGCAAAAUGCAUGGAUUUGAGAGAAUUCUGGCUUAUACUAGUAUUUUUUUUUUGCUGGUACAGGCGUGAUUCAAACUCAAUCUUCAAGGUCUUCAACUCAAUAUCGAGACGAGAAAAAAAAAAAAAAAAAAAGAAAAGAGGCAAAUCCAAAUUGUGCAAAUUAACAAGGCAAAUGUUCUGGCAAAAGGAGAUACAAAAUUGGAAAUCUAAAUUCAAUUUAAGCCAGUACUAGAGGAAUCAUGCAUGUAUGUACAAGUACAACAGGAGGCUCCCAUUCAAGAUUUUGACAUCCUACCAUUAGGAGGGAGACUAAACUCUCACGCAACAUGCAAUCUGUAACAUAGACCGCCAUGUGCCAUCAUUUUCUCUUUCGUUUCCAUACUUCUUGGCAACAAUCAGCAUUUUUUUUUUUUUUUGCCAAAUAUAUUAGUAGUAAUUUACAACUAGAAAGGGACAUACCCAAAUAAAAAUUGCAAGAAAAUAAAACUAUGUACAGAUUAAAGGUAUAAUUACUAGAGGCAAUUAGAGCUAGUUCAAUAGGAAUACGUGGUGCGGAGAAGAACACGGUCCCUGAGAAUCCCAUUGUAUAAAGCUACCCUGUUUGCUGGCAUUCCCUGCACUUUCCCACCUUUGAAUGUUGCGGAAGAAGAAGAAGAAGGCGAUGAGGAUAAUGAUUCUGCAGCUCUGUUGUGGGAACUUGAACUGUAAUUGUGCUGCAACUGCAACUUCUUCCUGUACUCAUCGCUGUUGCCAAUUGGGUCCACCACGUCCGCAGCAAAAUGCACCCUUUUCUUCUUUUUAUUUUUCUUCUUCCCAUCUGCACCCCACAACGACAUUAUAUUCCGAAUCUUGGGUAAAUAUACCAUGACAAACAAGAUAAGACCAGACGGAGGGGGAAGUCCAUAAAUAUUUUGCAUGAGAAAAUAUAGUAGACUUUUUCUUCUUUCUUGCAAAACAUGAUUGAUUCGUGUAGAAAAUUAUGCUGAUUACCGAUCAUUGACUUUAGAGAGGAGAAAAGGGUAUGUAUUAAAAUUGUGAAAUUAUGCAGGAACGAUCACGUUACCUGAAGAAGAAGCAGAGGAGAUGCAAGAUCGUGGGAGGGGUUGAGGGGACUGGCAGGGAGGAUGAAGGCAGUUGACCGUGAUUGACAACUGGGAAGGUGGGAAAGAUUUUUGGAGACGAAAAGCGAGGAGAAUAACAGUGCCGGAGACUGCAGCCAUGGCGGUGGCCAAGACCAUGCCUUGAGAACUCAAGAUUGAUGACAUCACUGAUGAGAGAAUAAAUUAAGAGAUCAAGUUUGAGCAGGAGGAGGAGGAGGAGGAAGCAGAUGGUGGUUGAGUUGGGUGAUCGGUGACUUUUUCUUUUCUUUUCAGUUUUCUCUCUUUUAUAGAGGAGAAAACAAACAGUUGGCAUUGGAAUGGAACUUUUGAUGGGUACAUUUAGCUGAGCCUGCGCUUUAAAGUCUAUAAGAAGACAAAAUAUUGUUUGGUACGGCCAAUUUGAAGAUGUCAUAAAGUUAGAGGCUAGUUGCUGUUUAUUAGUAUAUGCUAUAAUAAUAUAUAGUUGAAGUGAGAAAAGAAACAGGGGGCCUCAGGUCUGAGUGCAUUUGAGACAGAGAGCGGAUGGGAUUAUUUUGUACACCAGUUUGUUACAUAAACAAGCACUAAAUGGAAAAGAAAGGGGGAGACAAUCAAUAAUUGGCUUGAAGAGCAGUGAAAGACGUGAAUAAGCGAGCAUAUGGAUUACGGAAAGAAACGCUGAUUUUGGAAUUAGAUAAAGGGAUGAGGAUUGGCUAGUGUGCGUCUUAGCGUCUGCUGGCUCUUCCUGCUGGUGCACCGCACGGCAAUGGAAUUACUACAUAUUCAUUUCGGUUGCUUCUUCCGCAGGGACAGUGCUCUGUGUUUAACUUACUGUGUACAUGAGAGGUGAGAGUGGUCGGUUAGCACUUAGCGCCUGUGGAUCACGCUCCUCCAGCCGUGGCUGUGGUGGUUCUAGUCAUAAAUCAUGUAAACAUAAGUUAGCAAAAGUCUAUAAUUAAAUGGUUUUGACUAUAUAUGAUUUCUUCUAAAUUCAUAUGGGUAUAUUUUUUUCUAAAUUCAUUCGGGGGUGCGUAGCGUACCCAUCUAAUCUGAUGGUGAUUCAAUUUGUCCAGUUUCUUUACAUGUUAAGUUGUUAGGGCAGCACUUUGAUCAUUGGAUAACAAAUGUUCAACCCAACACGAUUUCUUAGAAUUUUUAGGCAAAACUUUUGAGGGACAAGUACAUUAGUAAUAAAGGAUAGAUGGGCUUGGCUUCUUUUCAGUAGAUUUUCUAUCUAUAUUUUUUGCAGUGCAUAUCACGUGUUUUUAUUUAUUAACAAAAGCUACGACUAGUUAAAUUUAAAAUAAUCGUUUCCUUUUCUAAUACAUGUAAUGCAUUCGGACGUGCAUUUUAGAAAAUGAGGAAACAAUUCACCGAAGAGGAGCCAAAUCUCGUAUGGGACGCCAAUGGAACAUUAAUUGUGAGAUUUAGUGAAUCUCUUUUUAAGUGUAUAAAAAUCUAACGAGAAAUAUCAGUUUCUCCGACCUAAUUAAUUCGAAAGAAUGUUAUGCUGCGUUUAGAAAUGCGAUGCUAUUUUGCUUCAUUAAAAAAAUAUAAUAAUAAUAAUAAUGUAAUGAUACUACCAUUUUGCAUGAAGAGACUACAUGAAGCACGUACGACAAAUGCAUCAUAAUCUUAUAAUCUCUCUCUCCCUCUCUCUUUUAUUUCUAUCUGAAUUUUUUCCCCCCAUUUUCUUGCCUUCUCUUUCCCUGAAUUAUGUAUAGGUCGAGCAGGCAUGUCUUAUUCCUUGGCCUUUUUUCUCCUCUUUUUCUCUUUUACGAGGAAGGAUAUAACCCCAAUAUCAGCCAAAAGAUAAUUCGAAAUACAUGACUUGCUUGAUGUUCUUCUCCAGCUCGAACAAGGCAGGGAAUCGAAGUUCCGUGGCGUAAAACUACAGAUACGUAGAUGCUGCAGACACAAAGACCAUCACGACAGAAUCGUCUCGCUCCAUCAUUUGACCAGCCAACUUAAUCAUUAAAGUUGUUUUGGUAUGGGCACUUGAAAAUAACUCGUUUUCUUUCCUUUAACUAAGGCUACGUGAAUAUGAUAAACUUUGCCAAUUAAAGGGGUGAACGCAUACGGCGACGAGAUUCGGAUUUGCGGAAUCCGAUGAACGAUGGAAAUUAUCCACGGGGAUGGAGUAUGGACCAUCAAAAGUUUGGACUCUUUGACGGGCAUAUGAACUUAAGAAGGGUGUUUAUAAAGAACUGGGAUCCUCUCGUGCCAAAUUCAGUGUCAAUCACACUUAUCAUAUGAUGGUAGAAUAAAUUUAAAUAACUAGCACAUGACAAAUUAAAUAAGCAGGACACUUGACAUAAAUAUAGAAGUGGUACUAAAUUGUCACUGGAAAAGUGACACUAACCGUUCAUGGCAUAACACUAUUGGUGACAUUGGAUUGGCAUAAAAAAUAUGUCGCCGAGAAUCCCAAGUGCUGUACUAAAAUCUAAUAUUGCUAUCAUUUAUCAAGGGAUAAUUUCAGAUACCUCCCCUCAGGAUUGUGAUGAUAUCAUUUAGCACCCCUGAACUUUGAAUAAAUCACUUCUAACCCAAUUUUUAGGUUUUCAUAACAUUUUCAAUCCAUUUCAGAAUAAAUUAUUAAAAAAAAACUCAUUUGUGGAUAGAGAAUAUGCUUUCAUUUUAACGUUUUGCUUUUCCUGUGAACCAUUUUAUUUUCAUAACAAAUCUGGUUAAUCACUUAACUUUUGAAAAUUUGGCCGAUAUGAUUUUCUAAUUAAAAAUUGCAACAUGUUAAUAAGAUUGAAAGACCCAUUACUAAUUGUUGAAUCAUUAGUCUACACAAUAAAUAUAACAAAAUUUUGAAAUUCUAAAAAAAAUCAUAAAAAUUACUACUCCAAAAUUUUACAAUAAAGAAAAUAAUAUUUUGCACCUUGAAAACCUCUCAAAUAAGUUUCUAAAUAUAUGGUUAAGAAAUUUAUCUUUUCCAAAUUUUUAUGCCAUUUAUUCGGACAAUAGUUUAGAAAAUUCAAAAAACUUGCACACAAUUCAUAAAUCUUUAAAAUCAUACACAAACAGUUUUGAAUUAAAAAAAUAAUUUUUGGUCUUUGAAAGAACCUCAAAUGAUUUGUAAACAUAAACAUUUUGGCUUGAAAAUAAAUAAUCUCUUUUGGCUUGAAAAUACUUCGAAUAUAUUCUUCAAACCAAUCUUUUUUAACUUUAAUCUACUUACUUAUAUAUUGUUUCAGUCAAAUUUAACAUUCAAACUGGUUGUCUCUAUUUUCAACCUAUUAUUACAUGUUUUCAAUUUUGAAAAACAAAAGGUAGAACAACAAAAGAAUACAUUUGGAAUAAAAACAUCUUCCAAGACUUGAUUUUCAAUUUGAUUCCUAAACUCUAAACUGAGAUAUUUUAGUAGUCCUUGUUACUUUUUUUUUUUUUGUCACCAUAAUAAAAUUCAUAUAACCUAAUAUACCGUAAUCUAGAGGGGUGGAAGAGAGGGACUCGAUAUAAAUAAAGAUUCUGUAAAAAAAGAUUGAUUACAGCCGUCAAAUGAAAUGACAAAUUGAUGGAACGCAAGGUUGAACCUGAUCUCACACGCUAGCUAUCAAGACUUGAGUCUUUUGACGGUGACCGUCGUGCCAAAGCCUAGUGGCUUAGUAGUCCUUGUUACUGGGAAGCGUCGGUUUGACACAUUGUAAGUUCCCAGACGAGAUGUAACAUCGGACGCUGACUUUAAGGUUCAUCGCAUUCAAGAUGAAAAUGAGUCAUAUGCUCUACAGUUGUCAGUCAUAUCAUAUGCUUCUCUGUCUUUGUUGGGCAGGCUCCUUUCCAUUACCCGUUCUUCUCUCCAGUUACCCUCGAUGCAUUAUUAGAUGAGCGAUACAUGGGAUCGAGUGAUUAUCAAUAAUCAUGUUUGCUCAACCUUAGUUGGUAAUCAAGUUUGGCAUCAUUCAGUUUAUCAUAUGUUUAUUGCUGAAACUUCCAUCUUAUCCAUUCAAUGUUCCGGCACCUAUGACUUACCACCAAAAUUUAGAAGAUUAAACCACUUCAAACAAGCAAAAUAAAAGGAUAAAGUGACAAGCCCUUUUUUUUUUUUUUUUUUUUUUAAAAAAAAAAACUCCGGAUCUCUCUCGUUCUUGCUUUUAAUUCCAACAAUCCUACAAAGAAAAAUUAUUUGUUAUUUUGAUAGAUUUUUUACUAACCCACCAUAUUAAAAAGAAAAUUAGAAUAGAGCCAACUUCACUUGAUAAAAGAAAAUGUAAAGCGAAGAAGUCGUUUUGUAUUAGCUUGAGUAAAUUAUUUAAAUGUACCAAUUUUGAGUGUUGUAUGCAGAACUAGUCAAUCUUGAAAGAAAAGGAAAUAAAAUAAGCAUAAAUUGUACCCACAAAAAAUAUUAGAGGCUAAAGGAAUUAGAGGUCCUGAGUUUAAAUCCCUAUUCCCGCUCUGUUUCUUAAAUCCCACCCAUCUUCUUUUUUUUAAAAAAAAAAUUAAAGAAAAACCUUUUAGAGAUAUGAAAAUGCAUAAAUCGGGUGUUAUUUCAGUAUUUUGUACUCAAAGGAAUAAACUUUGAUAUUGUUUAACAAACAUGGUAUAGCAAUGACAAGGGAACCUUUUUUUUUAAUUUAAAAGCAAAAUUAGAACAAUGCGUCAAAGCACAUAGUUAGGGAUGUAAAUACGUCUAAUCAAACUAAAUACCUAUUGUUAAACCUUGUUUAAUUAUUUUAAGGAAUCUGAAAUUGUAUUCAAAUUUGACUUGAUUAUUUUUGAGUCCGGACUGGGCUCAAACGAGCUUCUAUCGAAGCGGAUUGUGAAUAGCUUAAACUUUUAAUCUAUAAGUAAUUUUAAUUUUAUACUAAUGGACUUAAAGUAGAUUGAACAUAAAUUGUUGUUUAGAGCUGACUUGACUAGUUAAUCAACCAAGUUUGAAGAGCUCGCCUUAACUUGGACAUAGAAUAUCGAGUAGCUUUAAGUUCAUCAUUUAGUCUUAUACAUCGGCCACAAAUUUUAGAAUUGCCCACAGAACUCGCAGUUUUGUGCACUACCACUCGUUUUAGGUCUCAGGCACCACAUCUACUCCGUUGUUGUCUCGGGCUUCAGGACUACUCAUUCUUGGUCUCAAGGUCCACCGCUCCAGAACGCAAAAAAAAAAUAAUGGGUACAGCAACAGAAUAAUACGAAUAGCAUUUAUUCUUCAACCAGUAAAAGUCGAUAGCGUUUGUUCUUCAACUAGUAAUUUUUACUACACAGCCUCACAAUCAACAACACACCAGAUAUCAACGCCAUUGCUAUCUCCUUUGCCACACAGAAAUAGGAGAUUUUUAUUUGAAGCCGGAAAGUGGUGCUUUUAAGUGGUGAGAAUUGGAGGGUAGUAAUCAGCUUUGGUACCAAGAACUUUACCCUUCGUGUCUGGGAAGUACUCAAACCCAGGCAGUUGAGUCACUUCUCCAGCAGCGGUUACCCCAAUGGGAUAAGUAAGCAGGUGGCCCGGAAGGUCAUGUCCCAGGGUCUCGCUGGAGUAAAGAUCCCAAUACUUGUCAGCCAUUUGGUUAACCUUUCGGAUGCAUUCCACAUUUUCAGGAUGGAGGAAGCGGUUAUCUAGCAUACCCAGAUGCUCAUACCACAGUGCCAUCCGAAAGCCGUGAAUUUGACCCCUGGCUGGCUGCCUGAUGGAUAGAUGAUAUGGCUGGUAGGCUCCCAUGGCAAUUUCUGAAUCCCUCGCGCCGUCCAUUGACCUCUGGUUGAUAUUAGCAGAUCCUAUGAUGAUAUAUUCAUCGUCAACUGCAAGAAAGGAGAACACAGCACACAUGUUAACAUGCAACAGCAUGCACAAAAUAAGUACUAGUUCUUGAUAAUUUCCGAUUGGCUCCACGAAAUCAGCUUUACCCGUAUACAUAACUGAUGAUCUUUAUACAGGUCAUUUUUAUGUAGUGAGCUUUUCGUGGAUGGAGGCAGGUAUUUAGAUAGGGGAUGGUGAAUUGGGAAAAUUACCAAUCAUCAUUUUAGCGUGUACAUAGAUCAUGAACCGCCUGGCUUGCUGAGCUCUACUGUAGUCUGAAUCAGGUUCUGGAUGCUCGGAAGGUUCGUAUUCCCCCCUCUUCUUAGUUUCCCUAUUACCCACGCAAAAAAAUGUCAGGUAGUCUUUUGGAUUUGCCUCAAUCCCUUUUGCAUGGAGGGCUUGAGCCACAUCUCUAUACAUCAUCUCCAUAGUCCUCCUUUGCCAAUCCAGUAUAGCUUGUACAGAUGAACUCUCUGGAUAGCCUUCUGGCCACAUCGGAACCACAAUGUAAACACUAAACCUUUCCCCUGCUUCAAUCUUACUCACAAUCUUGAGGGAUAGUUCCUUUGGGAUGAGAUGCAAAGCACCGACAACUUCACCCUUGACAUCAUCUGAAUACCACCCAAAAGAGCUUCCUAGGAAAUACUGGUUUUCGAUGUAAAUAAAAUUUUUUGCGCGACGAAUGGCAUUGAUGUAUGCAUCCUGAAUACUUCGGUCAAUGACGUUGUCCUUACCACUUACAAGUCCAGCCCUGGCUGCUUCUUCAGGAGCUUCAGGGAAACCAAAAGCUGCUCCUCCAUCGAUGGAACGGAACACCUGAACAUUCCACGUUUCAUGAUCUUCUGGGAACAUAACUGGGGAUGGAGGGAUUAUUACGCCUGCCAGUUCUCUCAAUUCCAGUAGUAAGUCCUUCUUACCUUGUUUCCUCCACCUCUGCUCAAAAUUCUGCAACACAUCCCAAGCAGCAGGACCUUCGAGCCUAGAGUGAAUGUCAUGCCAUGGCUCUCUUGGUCCACCCUUUUGAAUCGAGGAAUUCUUAAAAUUAGGCUGAUGAAAAUCAUCAUGGUGGGCUGUGCCCAAUGUCCUGAACAGGGAAUGAAAAGGAGUAUCGUAUCUCCCAUCACAAAGAUCAAUACCACCAACAAAACUCACAAUCCUUCUCCUCUCUGUAUUUCCGUUUGGCAUUUCACUAUCUACAACUACAAUCUUCUGGUGAUGAGUGAACAUUGUACCAAUUUCUAUAUUCUGAAUGAUGCUCCGUCCAUCAUCAGGAUUGCGUGGACACAAGACGCAGUGGACUUCAGUGCCCUCAAAAUAAGCCCCUGUUUCUUCAUCAUGAGUGGCCAUCAAGCCAUCCUCUUUUAGCAGUUUUACGGAAGUUCGGUCAUCCCAAACAAGCAUUAGAACCCGCACUCCUUCGUUAGCCUUUUUCUUCAGUAGUUCACCUAUUGUCAUGUCUCCACCUGGUUUUGGCCUCCUCGAGUCUCUCACUAAGGUGAUUUCAGUAUAAACAGACCAGCCUGUGAUGUAAAUCAAAUGCUUUGCUUUAGUGAUGGCAUCGAACAUAUCUUCCCAACAACGAUGGGGCUCAUAAAACUUGCCACCAGCCAGAGGAAUUUUUGGGAUGAAGUUGUCAGGAAUAUGAGCGUCUUGGUAAAGAGUGACUUUGCAUCCAUUAUGCUGACUGAAGAAGGUGUAAGGCACGCCCGGAAACCUUGCACUUUUUAUUCCUCGAGACCAAUUACGCUCACGAGUAACAUCAAAAUACUGUACUUUCACAUGAAUCUUAGAAUGACCAUGGAUAGGCUUGUGGUCAUCACCCAGAAUAGGAAGCCAUCUGUCUAUUUCUUCUUCACCCAACAGUUCUUGAACAGGCAAGUAAGCUCUUCCAAUUAGUUCCGCGCCAAUAGGAUUAUCCACUUUGACGGUGAAUAUAACAUUUGAGGCCAUAUGGGCACAGUAAAUGUGAAAUGACUCGUACCAUCGAGGAUUUGAAUCUCCUUCAAGUAGUCUUGUUCGGCCAACUCGAGCUUUCUCCAAAUCCACUGUUGCAUAGAGCCUAGAAGCAGUGUUGUUGAAACCAACAACACGCUCAAUCCCCUCAACAAUCUGCAGUCAACAUUCAUUUGGAAAGAAUUGAAGACGAGAAAGGAGGUCAAACCAAUUCAGAAGGCAACAAUAACAUCCAAACUAAAAGAUUAACAGCAUCAAAAGAUCACCAUUUUGGCGGUCAGUACAUUCCCAAAAGGUAUGAGAGGAAAAGCACUCCAUAAAACAUAGGUCAAAGUUCAAACCCCAAUAGUGUUGAAGAUAAAACAGAGAAAUGCAAGGAUCGAUGAUUUUAGCAACUGGAUCUAAUUGCUGUAUUCUCCUUGAAAUCAAAGAAAAGAAACCAUUAAUGCCUUCUAUAUAAGACUAUCUCUCUCAUCCGAGGAAGUGAUUUUUGGUUGCACUGGUCUAUUAGAAAAGACAAAUAGAACUUCAAACGGGUCAUAAAUUUCCUCAGUCUAAUUGGAGUUAGAUCCAGCAUCAGUCACAAUGAAUCACUUUUUUGAGUAGUUUCAGUUGGUUGACUCUUCCAUGUCCUUUGGGAGGAUUUUUUCGUAAGCAUUGAGAGCAAACUAUGUUAAUCAAAGAAAAUACAAUGAGGUGGAACAAACUUUUUCAAAAACAAAAAGAGAAGACAGAAACCAUACAGUGAUCCAGACAGAGACUUGCCUAAAGUAGCAAGGAAGUGGAUCGCAGUUGGAACACAAGGUUUAUCCCGAUAGCAGCAGUUCGGUGAGAUGAAAAAAAUCUUUAUAGCAGUUGAACUUAUAAUAUUUCUACUACAUAAUUUUCUUUUAGCAAAUCUACUGCUGCUCUUAUUUCCCUGCAGGCUAUUAAAAGUUCUAUCAGAACGCGAUAAGAUAGCCUCAUGGUACAGGUUUAGUUGAAAUAUAUGAUUCUCGAUUUCAAUCCAUAUCUCUGAGGGGAGGCAAAACAUUCAGUAUGAUCCAUGUCAAACGCGACAAGAAAAACAAUCUAAGGGACUUCGAAGUCUUGAAUGAUCCAUGUCAAACACUAUAAGCAAAAAAAAUCAAAGGGACUUCAAAGUCUCCCUGUCCAUUCAUUCACAGCCAAUGAAACAUGUAAAAGCUGCACAAGAUUGCAGGAACUUGCCUAGACUAUGAUCAUCUCUGAGCUAAUGCAAGCCUGUUGAAAGUCAAUUUCACUAGUAGAUGUUCAUAAAUGCUGAUGCAAUAGAUCUUACAAACCGAGAUCUAAACAUCAGCUCUUUACAUGAUUAACAAGUAUUCUCCCACUUAUUCAACAAACCAGAGCAAUUGAGGUGAUCGGUAUGGUAGGCGAAACACCGUAUGUAACUGGAUAAUACUGCAAGAUUUACCUUAUGAAGAAGGUUUUGACCGAAACCACCUUUUAGUUUAUCAAUCUCAUAGAUUGUGGCAUGAAGAGUUCCAUGGAGCAAAAUCUGAGCCAUCCGUCUUCCUGCAAUAACUUGAUCAGAAAGUUCGUACUCGGAAAUCCUUACUAACACCAAGAAUAAUUAAGCAGAGCUGGCAACUUUCUUUUGAGUGUGUACAAAAAAACAAAAAAAAUUUAACUAACCUCAAAGAGUAUGCAGUUAAAGCAGGAAACUUGAGCUGAAGGCAACUGAUAAAAUUGAUCACAAGACUAUAGAGAUUAAGCAGCAAGGGGCAAAGAAAAGGACCCUCAAAAAAUUAGCCACCAGUUGACCUUCAUCACCUCGUCUUUCUCACAUGCAGCAAGUAGUCACUUGUAUAUAAUAGUAGUACCUUUGUCAAGCUCUUAGCAGGGGAGUCGGAAUGCACGCCCGGUUUUAGACCUUGGGGAGGAAGUGAGCUACGUAGGAGUACUGCUAUUAUGUUUCAUUCAUCCAUUCAAUCAAAUCGUAGGCUCCGUUUUCAUUCAUUCAAAUCAUAAUGGACAAACGCCACUUGGAACAAUUGAAAUGUUUUACACGCGUACCAUGUACUACAAACCUCGCUCAUUAACUUGUGGUUGCUUUCUUUAUUAAAUUGCUUAAGAGAGAAGUAGUCAAUUGUCAAGUAGCCAAAGUUUUGCCUGUGCCAUAGUAAAUUAAACGGUAGAUUGCUUCUUAUGCUUGCUGUAACUUGAUAAAUUGAUGUACAUAGGCCAAAGCCCAUCAGAACUAAGUCAUCAUUCAACUUUUUCCCGACUUUAGUUGUUGAGCGAAAGUAGUCAAAUCGUGAUUUUGAUAGUUGGGUCCCCUGCUACUCGAUUAGAUGAAGAAAUAUCAGUGGCACGGUGAUCCAAUAGCCCUUUUUGAAGUGCGUCCCAAAAUGCUUCCCACCAAUAAAAUAUUAGUGUAUAGUACCACAAAAUGAUGUGUUCUAUGGCCAAUGGGCAUCGUCCAGUUGGCUGAUAAACUUUGCCCCGUCUUCUUCAUCGUCGAUAAGGAAGCAAGGGCGUCUACUCUUGUCUGCACUGCAGUGCUCCAAUAUCCUUUUGAAUCUUCUUUGCGCUGCGCUCCUGAGUCAGUUGGCAGUUUAUGGCCAGGGCAGGUUCCAGUGCAAAAGUAAAGACCGAUCCGUGAUUAGUAAUUAGUAUAGUAGUACGUGUCUGGUUAAGAUAAGUUAUUGGACCCAACUGCCGACAGAAGACUUGAUGAAUGAGCUUUUACUUGAUUAAUUUAUGGAUCUGGCAAUAAGCCAUUGGGGUGACCAUCAAGGUCAACACCGCUCGAAAGAGAGAGCCUUGCACUAAACGGAGAAAAGGGUGCCCGGCCCUUCCAACCCCCGAUUACGACUUUGUCCUGACGCUUGACAAUCCGUGGAAUGGAAUGCAAAACGUUGAUGAUUUUGGUGAAAAUGAUGGUUUUAUAUUUACUUUAGCCUCAGAAAGGCCUUACAUUAAACGAAAGUAAUAUGCUCCUUCAGGGAUUAAUAGGUUUUUCCCGCGAAAAAAAUCAGUCUCAUGCAGGAGCAAAAAGGUUACAUGAAUUGAACUACCUACGAGCAAUUGUCGUUGUUGGAUUGGGUUCAUCAAGGGUAGCAUUUGAGGACUAAUCCAAGACAAAUGGCGUGUCAACAUUCCACUGACUAAAAUUACCAAAGUGGCAAAUGUUUGUCAAAGUCGGCCACCUAAUAAUGAGUAAUGAGGUCCCAAAUAAAGUAGAACCUCCAAAUGAUUACACUUUCACAAGCAGCUUGUCUGUUCUUGCUCUCAUUCCAAAUUUAACUGCUCCCAUCUUCGUAUCUCCCGUGCGAUAAUUUGUGGAUUUUCACAACUCAAACCCCUCUCAAAGUUUCUGUCGAAUUGGGUCGUUAAAAAGUCUUUGUAGCUCACAAACUAGCGAAGCAGCUUGUCAAUUGUAGUCUAACUAUGUCUUAGCAUCUGUCCCGUAAAUAAAAAGAAAUACUUAACAAAUAAGAGUUGCAUGUAAUUCAGAUUUCAACAACGUCCUUGCCAGUUUUUUGAGUUUCUGGGUACAAGCUGGGUGUGCAUGUUUAAGUUACAACAUUAGAGGGAUGCAUGGAAGGAAGAUGUAUCAGGGGUGAUAUCCUGUGCUACCUGGAGAAUGCAAUCAAUAUUAAUUUCAGGAUAGUGUUGCAAAAGCUUCAAGUUGUCCACAAAAUCACCUCUCAGCAAUCUGGUUUUCACACACAAUAGCAUUGCACAACAGACCCGUAAAAGCAUGUCCUGCCCAGAAAAUUUUUCCAUUUAUACAUUAAUCUUCGCAAAAUGCUAAUGCUAGCAAGUUAGAUGACACCCGUGAGGAGAAUUUUUCUAUUUUCUCUUCUUAUCAGGAUAUAUCAUGACUUAGGGAGAGAAAACAGCAAUGAGUAAAUCGUAAUUGAUUAUGUACAAUGGUCUACUGGGAUGGGAGAACAACCUGAAUGCCAUGAGGAUUGCUCAAGAGGGAAUCCCAGAUUCUCAAAAUGGUUCGAAAAUUGAACUCCUGAGUAAGUAGCAGUGUGAUCCACCUGAAUGCAUAGAAUUGUGGGUUAACCUGUUCAAUAGGGCACAAAACAGGCAUUAUGGUUUAGGAGUUAAGUUGCAGUUUCGAAACAAUAACUGGGAAAGAUUAGGUUGAGCAACAAUUAUUAUCCAUGCAGUCAGGCAACUCAGCUCACCUUGUUUGUGAGCUCAAGAUGCCUCCACAAUUCCUCAUCGCUGGCUUUUAACAAUUCAGAUAGCCGCAAAAGGGUAGAGCGGAUACCCACUGAACUGUUAUCCAUUUGUUCACAGAAGUGAUCCACAGAGUCACUUAUGAGUCUAACAAAACAAGAAAAACUGUCUGCUUCUACAUUUGCCUGGAAAAUGGAAGAUAAUAGCAGCUCUGCUAAAUAGAGGGCCAUAAGAAGCUGAAUGGAAACUGCAAAGAAAUAAGACCUAGCUUUUGGAGUUUAGUUCUCUGAGGAAGUUUCGGUCAUUUUUAUUGCAUAGGGGAACACUUUAUAAGUUCCAAGGGAAAGCCUUGACAGGAAGAACCUAUUGGAAAAGUUCUUUAUAUUAAAAAUAGGAUUUUCAAGAGUUGUGGAGGAGUUUGAGGGCAAGGAACAGCCCCAGCCGUCUCCCGCAGAACACCUGCCAAUGCACACAUUUGUGCUUCCAUUUACAACUUUAGCGCAUAUGGAAAUUUCACUCCAAAAGAAUCUAAACUACAGUUUUGUACCAGAUUUAGCUUCUCCAGACAUAAAAUUUAUCAGAAGAUUGUAGGCAUUGAACUGGAAGUCCUAUAACCACCAUUUCUCGGUGGUAUAAUACAUGCAAAUUAAUACAGACUUAUUCAUUCAAUACCAUGAGAAAACCUCCAUGGUUUGAUUUGACUUAAAAUUGAAUUCUCGGAUAAGUGCAUUAUCAAUUCAGGGCCAACCCCACUGUUUAAAGAUCAUACUUAAGGAACCUCUUGCAUGCUGAUAAGUUUGUAAUGACUGAUUGAAAUGACAUCAACAGGAGGUUAAAAGGAAGGAUGAAUUUGGUAGCAACAAGUGCCAGUACCUACUUACUCUAUGAUCAAAAAUUUUGAAAACAGCUUUUGACAUGUAUUGGUAAGUUUAGCUUGGAACCUCCAGAAGGAAAGGACCAAUUAAAACAAGAAAAUUACUACAAGCAUCGCAUCAUGUGGUUUGAAGAAAUUUCUUACAGAGUUUUUCUCUUCAUGGUCGGUGCUCAAUACAUAAUAUAGUGGAGCUAAGACCUCAUUCAUGCCUUGCACAUAUCGAAUUUCAGGAUUGAGUUUUGCAAACAGGAGAAGUAUAUUUUUCAUAGAUUCCUGCAGAUUGAUAUGUGAUGUUGUAAAUGAAAUUGAAUGUAAGUACCAUAAUCAAAUUUACAAGCUCUCCUUUGGCUUUGAUCUUUGAGCAGUUCAGAUUCAUUUGCCAACGUCUAGAACCAAUAAGAAUCACACAGUACCUUGCUUUUCCUACUUAUAGCUGAGUCCCCAGAGAAGAAUUUUAUGGUUGGGUGUGUUCUUUCCAGGUCACGGUCUAUCUGCUCUGAAAUUUCUGCAAACUAGAAAUAGAAGGUCUCAAAUGUAAUAAAUGUGGAAUCAAGCAUAACAAAACAAUACAAAAGAUCUCAAACUGGAGAAGAUGCUUACCUCAAAGUAUUUAUGCCAAACACUAGCUUUUCCUAAAGACAGGGGAUGAUCUUCAUUUGAGAUCUCUUGUCGUUCAAGGGGUUCUGCAGCAUGAGCAUUGGCCUGCUGGUCAAUGCCUUCCGCUGCUUCAUCUUUCCUCCUUGAAAAUUCUGACUGUCUACAAUGAAGCUAUUAAUUAGCUUAUCAAAACACUAGAAAGGGAAAAACACAAACAAGUAUUUGGUAGGACAAGAGACAGAAAAGAUCGCUCUUAAUUAGCUGAUUACCGGGCUUACGAGAAAUUCCUCUUUUAGCCUAGCAUAUUUCAGUCGGUUCUCUCUCAACUCCUUCUCCCACAUAUCACGAGAAGGAGGUAAAUACCCAAGUAAGAGCUGCAAAUUUGCAACAUACCAAAGCUCAGAGAAGUUACUCAUUAAAUAUCAAAAGAAACACGUUUAUUCUUUAAUCCAAUUUCAUUAACGAAGCUUCUUUUAUAAUGACACAGUUAAAGGAAGGAGGUAAAGCUCCUUCCUUGCAUAUGGAUCCAAGCUAAAACAAGUACCUCGUGUACAUUACCAAAAUACAAAAUUGAGGUGGAUAUAUUUUAGGAAGUACUGGAAACAAUCAAAACAAAAGGCUUGAGUCUAUUUGCAUUUUAAACGCAUUCUUGUUUAUUACCAGGAAAAACUUGAUGGCAAAAUGAUCAAUUAAAAACUUUUACCUUCCAAAUUGUUGCCCGCAAACCUCCUCCAUCAGGAAUCCCUGAACUAGCAAUUCUUUGCAAUUUCUCCAAAUUAAUUUCCUUCUGUGAAAGCUAUCCAAACACAAGCCAUAGAUAAACAUAAUAAAAAAACUUUUUUCGUAGACUAUACAGACAUGAAAACAAGCAGCAUUGCCGCAUUCUCUCCCAGGAACACAAAGAUAAACCAAGAAUCGCCUAGUUAGCAGAAGCCUAAUCUAAGCAAUAGUUACAGAAUCGUUGUUGUCAGUCCAUUUUGCUGCUUUAACUUCUAAUUGAAAUUUUAUGCGCCAAUUAAAAAAAAUAUACUCCCUGAAGAAAUAUUUUGUCUUCUAAUGAAUUUCCAAUUUUAAAUGAAAAAGAAAAUUAACCCAAAAAGAAAAUUGAGUCGGCCGAAUAAAGAAAAUGGAGUAAAGUAGGCUUCUUCUCCUGACCUCAUAAUCAAGAUCGGAUCGCUUAUCAUCAGCGUCAAUGGCCUCCACAUCUACUUUGUGUAUGGGAGGAGCCCUGAUUUCCGAGAAGCCAGCAUCAGACUUCACAUAACUUGUACCUUCAUUCUGAUGGUCAUCAACGUCUCCAUGCGAACCCAACCCAAAUGGCUGAAAGGUUUCUAGUUCUUCACCAGAUUCCAACUCUUUAUAAACGACUCCAUUUUCGUCUUCUCCCCCAUCACCAUGGGCAUCAAAACCAGCCACUAAACUGCCAAGCCCAUUAGGAAAUGAAUGGUGGGAUUUCUGUGGGAACUUAAGCAGCUUUUUCCCCUUCAGCAUUGCUAGUCCUUAAAGACUCCUUCGAACAGAGUUCCACCGAGUAACUUAUUCUGAGAUGAUUUUGCAAUUUGGAAGAUGGGAUUUGGCUCCAUGGUUUUGCAACUUUUCUUUUGUCUUCUCUGUUCUCUGCUGUGAAGGGAGAAUGGUAGUUAAUCGUUGAAUGGUUGGCGGGCCUGAUGUGGGACUGGGAUCCAACAAUAGUUUUUUCUUCUUUUUUUGGUGGGCAAUGUCAAUGUGGAUGGAAGAAAUGAGAAAUUAGUAUGGGUAAAAUGUACUAUUUUCUUGAGUUCGAUUGGUGUUUGAAUUGAGCAUCCUAAAACUGAAUUUGUUUUUAGGGGAUGGAAUGGGAGCCCCCAACAACCUUUAUCGGAGGAGAUUAAUUAUGAAAAGGAGUAUCAUGGAGAAGUUGAUUGAAAAAAAUAUGUAUAAAUUUAUUCUUUUUUUGCAUUUUUUAUAAUUAGCUAUUAGAAAUUGUUGAGGGAAAAAAAAUAUACAGUAAUAAUGUAAUAUAUGUAAAAUAAUAAAAAGUAAUUUAAAAAUAUACCAAAAAAUAUUUUUUUUGAAAAAAAACUUACAAGCCAAAUGGCACGUGAGAUGAUAAAGUAGAUAUAUUUUUUUGUCAUCGCCACUUUAUCUAUAUUAUCUUACUUUAAGAGGGAGAUCCAAUUAGAUAUACGGGAGAUCGAUGAGAACUGAACCACUAUCAAACCAAUCGGAUGCAUUACGCAUUCAUCUAAAUUUUUUUAAAAAGGCAUAUAUUAUGGCAACUGGUGGAAGUCAAGAGUUAAGGACUUGACACCCUUGUCUCCCACGUCACCAAACCUUAAGGACUUAGUGGUGGCCACCAAUUGCCUCCAAUUAGUGGCACAUUUUAGAUGAUGAAGUACAUACGAAAACACUAGCUUGAGAGUACUAACUUAGUGCUUGAGCAGGCACCAAUUGCCUUUUCUUUUUUAGAACUCAACCACCCAGAAAUCAGAGGAAGCAAAAAUGCAAGAGAUAUGAAAAGGAGAAGGAAAUUAAAUUUUGCGGGAAAAUAAAAGACUAAAAAAGAGAAAAAAGAAAACUUGAGAAAUAUGAGCCCACAUGUGACGAUCAUCAAAUUUGACGUUCUGAACGCCGAUGGACUUGGGAUUUGGAGUUUUAUUUAUGUUGCUGCCUUGCUGGACACAGAGAUCUUCUGUAGCUACAUUUUGGGCUACUGGCACAUCUGCAUUGGUGCAUCGAAGAUUUCUGGCUGUAGACUUUGCACUUUUACUCAUUAAGCCUACAAACCUUUAGGCCUCAGGAAAAUGGCCUGAGGCCCUUAGCCCUAGGUUACGACGGGUAUUCUCGAGAUCCCAUCUUAACCCACAAAAAGCGGUGGCCCUUUCGCCCUAAAGACUGAGGCCUUCCUCCAUUCCUAAUACUCUCCCCGUCCCAUUUAUUUGUUCCUAUUUCAAAAAUUCAAUUUUUUAACAAUAGUAAUUUGAUUGUCAUAUUUGAUCUUGUUUUGAUUGUGAAAUUUUUGAAGAAUAUUCGGCCCUUAGACCAGUAGGAUUUCUAGUUUCAGGCUUACAGCAUGGACUUUUUGAUCCUUUCAUUUUUUACCAAAACGAGAAGGUAAUCAUGAUUCUUUACCCAUCGUUUGAAUAGGAGAUUAUUUGAAAUAAUAAUUGUGUUUGGAUAGCAGAUUCAUUGGCAUAAUUUAAAAAAAAAUUGUAAUAACACUUUUUUUUAUAUGAUGUAGUAUAUGAGAUAAAAGAGUUGUUGAAAAUUGUGUUUGAUGAUCCAAAAAUAAUAAAUUUAGAUUUUUUUUGGCAAAUCUUGAUAAUCAAUCAGUUUUUGUUUCGUUGAUUUUAAGUUUUGUUUUGGACUUUUGUUGCUAAUCAAUGUAUGGAUUCGUGUGCUAUUCUUUUUUUUUACUCAACGAUAAUAUUUAUAUAAUCUACUUUACCCUAAUCUUGGAAGAGAGGGAGGAGGAAGCCACAAAUAAUGUCUAGUGAGAGGGAAGAUUCGAACUAACCAACGUUAACUCUUGACCAACAAACCAAAUGGCCGUUGGCUAGUCAUGUUGUACUCGGCUAGCCGCUGCAUUACAUUUUCCACGCAGGCUUGUAGUUGUUUAGAUGGACAGGAGAAAAACAGCCCUUUGUGGCCCUUACUUUUUUUGACCAUUAUUGCUUGCAGACUUUUCAGACUUGCAGUUAAGGUGCAAACCCAGCAGCAAUAAACUUCUGACAGCUGAUUUUGGGACCAUUUUAAGGCUUAAAUGUUACAAAGACACCAGUUGAAGCUUGAAAGUGAGGAAAGUCUCUUUGCAGCUCUCACCAGUCACAAGUUUAGUUUUAAGUAGGAGCAUUGUUGAUGUCAGACAAUUGAAUUGGUCCUUCAAUUUGGCUUGGAGCGCUGAAGCAAUCUCUCGGAUUCUACCUCAAAAGGGUAAAUUCACAAUGACUGCCUGUCAGUAAUUUUUUGGAUUCUGUACUUCCUACGAGUUGUAACAUGAUGGUCCAUGGUGUGGAAUUGAACGCAAUCAACCAUUCCAAACCUGUGUGGUGGACUGAUCUUUUAACUUCAUUGAUUCCUUAGCAAAUCAUUGCAGAACUUAGAUUAGAAUUACAUACACACAUUUGUGACUUGAUUUUAAAUUCAAGUCAUAUAUAUGGUAUCGAGUUCACAAUUAUUUUUGGACAUGUAGAUAUGGAGAUUUAUUUUUCAAUGAUAGUAUUGUUCUUCAAUUUCUCUGCGUUUGUGUAUGUUGCUAACUAAUCGAAUGAGAUAUUAUGAACUACUAUUAGGGAAGAGCUAUCAGAGCCUUUCUUGUUAUCAAGUUCAGAAUUGGAAUCUAGCUAUUAGAGGUAAAAAAUUGUAUGGAGAGGGGUCAGUGGAGGUGCAAACGUGACGAGUUGAGUUGAAUUUUGACUUAAUCGAGUCUACUCUUGAUUCAAUCUUACCAAGUUCUACCUCAAAUUCGACGAACUAUCAAUAUCAAGUCCGAGGUUGAACUCGCCCCUACUCGAGAUAAAAAAAAUAAAAAUAAUUAUUUUAUUUUCUAAAAAAUAAAUAAAAUAAUAAUUUUUUAAAAAUAAUAAAAUAUUAGAAAUAUAUAUAUGUAAUUUCACUAUUAAAAUAAAAUUAUAUAUAUAAUAUAGUGACUAGCGAGUUAACGAGCUAAGUUUUUCUGUGCUCAAAUUUGAGUUCGAACUCAACUUAGUCGGUUCGAUCUCGAACUCGAAUCAAGUUUUGACUGAACCGACUCACGAGCAUUUGCAAGGAAUUUGACUCGUUGCAGACCUAGGUGGGAAGGUUUGGAAUAAUAAAAGGAAAAAGAACUACAAUGACGUUGCAUACACAUGAGAAUUAGUGUGUUGCAUUAUGAGAAUAAAAGGUUUAAAGUCGGUGAUGAUGAUGAGAAAUGCAAUUUAAGUGAAUGCGUAAUCUUUAGAACCCAUAAUUAGGCAACUUUUUGGUACAGUUUUCCUGCAUAAUUAAACUAGUAGUAUUAAUCUGGACCAGAAACGAACACGACCAGCCUAAAGUAUAGAACCGGAGCAAGGCAAGAUUGUAUUCGCAUCUCAAGUUGAGUCCACAAGUUUUGAAUCUAUCUAACAUUAUAGGGAUGGUCCAGCGGCCUUAAGAGUUUUCGAGUACGUGAAUUAGGGAUGAACAACCGCUCUAAAAGUCCAUCCCAACCAAACUCCAUGAAUUUUGUACUGAGCAGAAUUCAUUAUAGGGUAACCAUCCAAUUGAAGAAUAACAUGGAGUAAUAAGAAUGUGCAAUGAACCAACUCCCAUUAGAGGAAUUGGCCACCAUCAAGCCUUUAAGGGUGCCUUUGGGAGUUGAGGAUUCGAACGGAACAAAAAGAGAAAGAAGAGAAAGCCUGACUUUCCUUUGUUUGUGAGUUUUAAGUAAGAGAGAAAAGAAAGGAAAUAGGAAGAUGAAUAGUGGGUAAAAUUUUUCCUCCCAAAUUGGAGAGAAAGUUGGAGAAAACUUGUAAAUUUUUUUUAAAAAUACCUCUUUUAUCCUUAAAAAUGUCUUGAACAAAUAUUUAAUGACUUUCAUAUUCAAAAUUAUUCCACUAAUUCUCAAAAUUUCCAAACAAUAUAACAAUCAUUUUUCUUCUCUUCUCUUCUCUCGUAACUUAAGUUUUCCCUUCUUCUCUUUUCUAUCCUAAACUCCCAAACUUAGCCUAAGACUUGGUGGAGUGGGAGGCAAGGAUUCACAAGUGUGGCUCCCACAAAUUGCCACAGGUGUGGCUCUCCAAAUCUAGACGGGUAUGUAGUGUAUUCGUCUGAUCCGAUGGUGGUUCAGUCCUCGUCGGCCCUCCCAUAAGCCCAGUUGGAUCCCCCCUAGAAUAGGAUAGAGUAGGAUAGACAAAUAUCGAGUGUCGAAAAAAAAAAUAAGAAUUUGCAAUGAAUUAGAAAAAAAGAAGAAGAAAAGAAAAGAAGACGUGUAAAUAUCGUUACCAUUUACUCUUUAUCGAGUGACUAAAGAUGGCAUACAUGGAGAGAGUACUACUGAGAAGUGUUUUAUAAAUGAUGCAACAAUUAGGUGCGACACUAUGUGGAGGAAUUCACGACACCAAGCUCUUGUCUAAUAUAACCACAACCAAAGAGGCCAACUUGAGCCCCAUGUGAAUAGUCUGAUUGGUUCCAUAAUUUGAUAGUUAUCAGCAGGUCUCGAUCCUCAUGUGCUGUCUAUAUAUUCUUGAGGCAAUACUUUACACAGUUUUAUAUGAUUAAUUUGGUCAAAAGAUUGAGAUAUCCUAAGUUAGAAAAAAAGACUAACUUGGAACGUACGUCCUGCGAGUUUGAUGCUCUGAUAGGAAAGGCAAUGACACAAGGGAAAAAGAGCCCCCGAGACAACGGUAGUACGUAAAAAGCUCUUCACAGGUCUUUGAUAAUUUUACUCGCAAUCCAUCAUCAGGUUGUCAAAUGUUUAGAUUCUCUCGAUGAUCCCAAAUCCAGAAUAAAGUUCUUCAAGCUUCAUGUUGCAAAAUACUAGAACUUUCAGCUAACUCUUGAAUAUGAAAGUACGAAGCACCAUUUAGACGGGAGUUUUUAACUAGGCUGGUUAUGAAGUUGAUUUUUAACAGUACAUUUGUUGUCUUUUAAUCAAAAAAAAAGAAAAAGAAAAAGAAGGAAAGGAUUACAUAUAUUUUCUUUCUUUGAAAAUUCAACAUUUAUUAUUGUCCUCGUUGGUAUUCGGUACGACAACGAUACUUGAUGUCCUUUUUAUGUUCUUUCCAUUGAGAAAUUUAAUCCUAUCCCCUGUCACAUUUAUAAGAUAUUUAUUGGCCUUUUCUUAGCAUUUACCUACAAUUAGAGAAAUUUUUUUUAUUUUAUAUCAUGUCGUUUGUUUGGCUUAUCAACAUACAACGUGUGUUUACUAUUUUUUCUUUUUUUUUUUUUUUUAAAAAAAAAAAAAAAAGCAGAAGUCAAUAUUAUUAAUCAAUUAGUUAAAAAUUAUUCAGCACGCAUUCUAUGUCAAAAAAAAAAAGAUCUAUCAAAAUGUUCAAGCUUGACCCAAACUCCAAAUCAAAAUGUCUUAUUUUUUUUUUUUACCACUCUCGUGGAAUUUCACCUACAUUCCAACCCUGGCUGAUGAAUGUAGAACCAUAGUAGACAUUUCUUGCUUCAUAGCCUUGUGAAGCUUGGAGCCCCGCGACCAUGUGAGUUGAACGGGAGAGACCUGCAUUGGAUGCAGAAAAGAAAACUUGAAUAAAUCCUUGUGCUGGAGUGCCAGUUUAGUUUGAUUUUGAUUCCCGACACCAGCUUAUAGUUUUUUCUUUUUCCGAAGAGCUUUUAACAUCAUUUGAAGCUUCCCUGAAUGGCAACAUUGCUAUAAAAAUACCGACAUGAAGAAUCAUAGUGGUAUCAAUCAAAUUCAUCCAGCAAAGGAAACGAACACGAAUUAGAUCCUCACCCACCCUCAAAUUUGGUUAGGUAAAGGUCAGUAGUGUCUUUUAAGAUUGGGUCUGCAGGUACCGUACUGCAGCUUCCCAAGUCCAAAAUUUUCCAUUUUCAUUCGGUGAUUUCCAUUUUUGUUCAUUUAUGUACUACAUACAUCUCCUUGGACUAAGGCCUUUCGGACUAUUUCAGGAGAUUCAAAUGAACUAACAUGUAAAACCAGAAAAGCAGUUUGAAAAGCCAAAAAUCACCAGCACAACAAGAAGUAAAAAGUACGGUAUGAUACCAGCAUGAUUGAUGGAAAUUUAAUCGUGGUGAAGGACAGGACAGGCCAAAGUAUUAAUGGGGAAUCAAGUGCCAUUGUCCCCUUUUCAGAUGUGAAAUUUCAUCCAAGGAAGGGUCUUAUCGGAGUAGUAAAGGAGACCACAUGCGACGAGUUUGAGUUUGACACCGAGCAUCCGCCACCUCGACUCCCUGUCCUUUCUUUUUUGGAAGAAAAACCCUGUACUUUGCAUCGCCUGACCUCCUCUUAAUCUACGCCAGUCCUUUUCACCUGUCGAUCCUCGCAUCAUUUUCCGCAAUCUGGGCAUGUAACAAAAUUUCAAGAAGGUUAGUAACUUUUUGCGACGCCAUAGGCGCUGCCAUUUACUCCAAAAUUUCCGAAAUUAACUAAGGUGCUAAUUAACGUGUGAAAAAGUGCAGUUAACUUGUGAUCAACUCGAGGCAUAGGCAAGUGAACUGUCAACUACUAGUCAGAAUCAAUCCAAGGAAAAAAAAGAGGAAUCCAGCAGACCAUUCAAUUCUGCUCGAGUUACUCGCAAUUUAUGGAGACCAGUGGCUCAGCAGGGUCAGUUGAAGUGGUACUACUGCGACCGUUGUCCUACUGUUUUUAUUUAAACAAUAACAAACUUAUUAUAUUAGUUGACCGACGCAGGAUUAUAGUGUGGUAUAUAUUCCUCUCAAGGAUUUCCAUGCUUUCAAGUUCAGCCAUCUUGAUAUUUUUCCGCCGUCUGCACUGCAGAGGAUAUUCUUGUACUUCAAUUACUCUCUGCAAAUUCCCUUAACUCCGCACAACAAAUGGUUCAGUCUAAAAAGUUCAGAGGUGUCAGGCAGCGCCACUGGGGUUCUUGGGUCUCUGAAAUCCGUCACCCUUUAUUGUAAGCUUCACCUCAUCGUCUAUCUCAAUUCCCCAAAGCCAGCCCAGCACCCACCAUUUUUGUCUGCCAGAAUGAUCAAUAUAUAAAAAGUGUUUCUCUGAUGAUGCAUGUUGAUAUAUCCUUUUAAUUUGUUGUUAUUUUUUUGUGGGGAGGGAUCUAAUUGAGGCAUGUCGUGCUGAUGAUUGUGACAGGAAAAGGAGGGUGUGGCUAGGCACGUUCGACACAGCGGAAGAAGCCGCUAGAGCUUAUGAUCAGGCAGCUGUACUAAUGAGCGGGAGAAAUGCGAAAACCAAUUUUCCAGUAGUCCAAAAUUCCGAUGAUGGUGAUGCUGCUGCUGAACCAGCCGACUCGAACGCUAGCAUUGUUACUGGUAAAGAUGGUACUACUUAUUAUAAAGCUCAGGAGGGGUCACCCUCGUCGUCAUCUAAGGAUUUAUCAGAAAUUCUCCAUGCCAAGUUACGCAAAUGCAGCAAGGCACCAUCUCCCUCUCUUACUUGUUUAAGGCUUGACAUCGAGAAUUCUAACAUCGGCGUGUGGCAAAAGCGUGCCGGCCCAUCCUCCGACUCCAAUUGGGUCAUGACAGUCGAGCUUCAGAAAAACAAGAAUACUCAUAACUCCAAUAAUAACGUUAACAUCAUUGCAGAUGAUCAGGGAGCAACGUUAUCUACUUCGUCUAAGGCUCCUGCAAGAAUCGACGGCCGAAGCCGGCAAAAUGAUCAAAUGGAUGAAGAGCAGAGAGUGGCCCUUCAGAUGAUAGAAGAACUUCUCAACAUCAACAGCCCUGCUGCAACAUUUGGCAUUUCUCAAGAAGAUCAGGGCAGUGGCUUUUACGUGGACUAGUAGUCCUUUCCAAUAACUUCGAAAUUUAUAAGCUCCUAUCUAUAAAUAAAACUUGAAAUGGAAUGAAGGCGUUGAUUUCAUUUCCUCCAAAAAAAAAAAAGAAGGCAUAGAAUUCAUCAUGUCCACAAUCAUGUGUUGGUAAAUUUCGGCGUGGAGUAUUUAUUUCCUUGGUUGAGAUUUCACAGGUAAUCAUUGGUGCAAUUUUGAGUGUGCCGAUGGAGAACAAGUCAAAUUGAAGUGCAGUAUUGGGACUUCACUCGGAGUCUAGAUUCGCUUGUAUUCUGCAAUGAAAUUUGAGUACUGAAUUUUUGAGAUUUUCUUUUGUUCCCAUUAGAAGGAGGAAUUAAAUGGUUUCCUCCCAUCAUUUUUUGUGAAAAUGUGGUGGUUAUAAACAUAGUUUGUAAAAUUGAGAUCCUACGCAAAAAUAGUUUUGGGAUAAUAGGAUCGGAUUGCAGAAUCAUAAAAUUCUACUAAGAAUUACAUACUGCAGUUGUUACUAACUUUUAAACUGUUAAUUUACCUAGUUUCAUUGAAUAUAUUCAUAUUUAAUUUAUAAAUGCACAAUCUUAACACUAGUUUAGUGAUUAUUGACAUCAUAAAUAUAUGUUUCAAAUAUUGUAUCAUGUUCUCAUAGGUCAUAUUUAAGAAGAAAAAUCUAUUAUGAACUAUAAACCAUGAACUUGACCAAAGAAAUGAGGUAACUAAGAAUCCAUUGCACUAAUAAGAUAACAAGCAAAAUACAAUAAAAAUAAGUAAAAUUUCAUUUGCACUCUAUUUUUGUUAUUUGCAUUCUAACCAUUUAUUUUAUCAUAUAAUAUAAUAAAUGAAAACUAUAUAAUGAGAAUGAUAGUAAGAGUGUAAUUAACAAAAAUGGGAGUGCAAAUAUUACCAGUAUACUAAGCAGCGCAAAAUAAUAUCAAAAUGUUAUCCUUUUCUAACCAAUUCAAACAGUCAAACUCUCAUCACAUAAUUAAACUUGAAACUAAUACUAAACUAGUAAUAUCUUUUAGGAAAAAAAUUAUAUAUUACAUUAGAAAAUUCUAAUUUGUUUUCAUCUACUUUGUUAAUUAUAUUAGAAUAAAUCUUAUAUAAACUGACAGUGCAUAUACUAUCAUCAUUAGAUCCAUGACAUAUAUGCAAAAAUUGAAUUUCAAAUUCAAAAUUUAUAUAAUUGUCGUUCAUCCAACGUGACAAUAUAUACACUAUCGGUAUCGGUAUCGAUAUGUAGGAAAUAUUAAUUCAUCAUAUUAUUCUUUGCGGUACGGCAUAAUUAGAUAGGAACACAUCAGCAAUAUUUAGAAAGUAGGUCACACUUAUUGCACAGCAGGUUUAAUUUUAUGAACAAUCCUAUAGUUGUUAGGAUCGUGCAAUUUCAUUGUGAUCCUACAAUUCCAGUACGACCAACCACCCGUUUGGUUGAUGGCAAUGAGAGGGUAAUGAUUGUCAUCGACGGCUGUUUGGUACAUCACUUUGAACUUUUUCAUUACCCACUUUUUGGUCUUCCGUUACCCAAAACUCAUUGGGCACUUUCACUUCCAUUACCCAUCAAGAUAAAAAAUAAAACAAGAACGAACCAAAAUUAGGAAAGGAAGAGAACAAUAUCCGCCUCCGCCUUCUCUCAUCUUCCCUCCAACUCUUCUGCCUCCUCACUUCGCCCUUUUUGUUUCAUCCCAAUUUCUCUCCUUUCCUUUUUCUCCCUCUUUAUUCCAUGGAAUUUUUCCUUCUUUUCUCUCUCACAAAAAAAAAAAAGUCUUGGUGUGAUGAGAUUUUCUUUUACUUUUCAGUAAGAAUUUUGAAGUCAAAAUUUGUUGAAACGGUGUGCAAUGCUGGGAUUAUGGUGGAGGCAGUGAGAGGUGGCUGUGCGGUGGUGGCAGUGGCAAAGGGAUAAAGAGAACACCAAAACCCGAAACAAAAAAAAAAAGGAAAAAAGAAAGAAAGAAGAGGACAGCAAACAUGGGAGAUCGGUCAGCAACAUGCAAGAAAUCAAGGGAAAGGAAGCAAAAAAAAAAAAAUGGUGGAAGGAGGAGCCGGGAGGUGAUGAAGAGAAAGGAGCAAAGAACAGAUAACAAUUUUCUUUUUUUUUUCUACUAAGAAAAGUCAAUCAUGUGUGUUUGGAUUGAAAUGUUUUAAAAUAAAAUAAUUUGCUUAAUAAAUUUUAAUCAUCUUUUUAUUCACAUAUAUCAUAUUAUAAAAAGUGUUAUAGUAAUUAUUUCAAAUAAAUCGUUCAAAUAAAUUCCUAUCCAACCAAAUUUAUUGUCAUUACGGUGACUAUCAAACACAAGAUUUUAUCAAAAGGAAUCUUGAUAAAUUCAUUCUCAUCGAGGGGUGUUUCAUAGUGAUUGUCAUUGGCAUUCCUUAGCAGCAACCAGAUGGGUAGUAAGUUGGGACAAAUGCGAUUUUAUGAGAACUGUGAGCCUAUUGACAAUAUGUUGAUUGAUGACUUAAUUUAAUUUCAGAUCACGAUUUUGAUUAUAAACUUGUUAUAGAAGAAGGAAGUUUGACCAUAUGAUAUGAACAAGAACCAUGUACGUUACACCCGCCUAAAACGACAGAGUUUCAGUAUUUGUUUUGACCUCAAACUUACCCCAUGGGGUUUAAAGUUUAAACUUUAAAACGGACGGGCUUUUGAAAAUGAACGAAACGUAAAUGGGGCUAAAUUUCUUUUUUCUUUCUAGAAGUCAAGUUUAUCUAUCGCCCUUUGCUGGCUGGCGAGAAUCAGAAGGGAUUGGAUUUACUAAGUUGUAGCUGUCUAUACCCACUGCUUGGCUGUUCCUUGAGGGUAUUCAUUACGCUUAAAACUAGUUGUCACCAACAUUUUUGUAACUUUUAUAACAUUCCUACUUUUUUUUUUUCAAUAAUUGUACUCUAAUUCGCGCGACCAAUGUUUUACACGACUUGCUGCUCUAAGUAUUAGGAGUUUGGUGCAAACUUAGCCAUUUAAAGCUUAAGGGAAAAUGACCUGUUUCAUCUCUCAUAUUUCAUAUUUUGCAAAAAUAUUCUUUUCGUCCCUCAUUUUUAAAAUAAAUCAAAUUCGUCUCUGACAUUUAAAAAUUAAAACUAUUAUAUUCCUGAAUCUAAUUUUCAGUCUGAAUCAAACAGUCCAAUAACCCAGUAAUAAAUUUCCAAAAUAGAAUUGAUAGAUCAUUCAAUCAAUUUCAUCAUAUUCACAUGACAUUUAUUAAAUCAAAAAAAAAAUAAAAAUUAUAACAUAAAAGGCCAUUCUUUGUCUUGGAAUAGUAAAGUUUUUUUUUGAUAAAUUUUUUCAUGCACCGUUAGUAUAUCCGCUUGCGAAUCUAGAUGUGUAUCAUAAAUAUAAAAAUUCGUAUUUAAAUUUAAAUUAAAAUGAUAUGGCGGUGCAUAAAGCCGUCAGUGUAUACAAUGAUAAUGUACUAAAGAUUAAUCUUUCUUGUUUACGUUAUAAUUUUUUAUUUUUUAUUUUUAGAUUCAUUGAAUUUCACGUGAAUAUCAAGUUGAGUUAAUCAAGUGAUCUAUCAAUUACACCCAUAGUUGUCAAAAUCGCGAUCCGGAUCGUAGGAUCGUACGAUCCGGAUAACCAAAAUCGAUCCAGAUCGUAUUCAGAGUCGCAAAUCAUAUUAAUCUAUGUAGGAUCGCAUAGAAUCGUAGCAGAAUCGGUAGGAUCGUAGAAUCGUAGAAUCGGUAGAAUCGUACGAUCCUACAAUUUUUUUGUAAAUUUGUAAAAUACGAAACUCCAUUUUGCAAGUAAAUGAAAAUAUUUGUGGUAUAUUUGUAAUUUAUCAAAGAAUUACAACAUUUAAUUGCAAUUAGGAGCUUUUGGUAGGAUCUUACGAUUCUACGAUCCGAUCCUACGAUCCGAUCUUGUGAAACUAAAAUCGAUCCUACGUAGGAUCCCAAUUUUACAAACCUUGAUUACACUCCCAAAAUUUGUAAUCAGGUUGAUUGGUGGUUUGAUUUAGAUUGAAAUUUGGGUUCAGAAAUGUAAUAAUUUCAAUUUUUAAAUGUCAAGGACGAAAUUGCUUAAGUUUAAAAGUGAGGGACGAAAAGAAUAUUUUUGUGAAAUGUGAAGGAUAAAACCAAUCAUUUUCCCAAAGCUUAAUUUAUUUUCCCCUUUUAGAUAUGAAUUUCCCUUUUUCAAAGAUAAAAUUUUGGUCCCCGGAAAAUAUUCAAAUAUAUAUAUAUAUAUUAUCUGACAACCUUUCGUCAUUAGCCCUAUUCCCUACCUCGCGUGACUGAAGCAUCUCAUUAUAUCUAAUUUGGUUUUACUGCUAAUUUUGUCAUACGUGGUUGAGACUGUCGGAGGAGGCCUGGGUUUGGGCCUGUUUAGCCAUGGACCUUUCGUUCUUGUGAUGUUCUCAUGUGCAGAAACAAUCAUUCAUUUGUUAGUCCGAUACAGGAGAUGACUAAUGGGCAGUUGAUGUAAGAUGAUGGAGGCGCCCCUGCUUCAAGAUUUGGACUUGUCGGUAAAAGCAAACUGAAGUGCCAGCUUGGUGAUGUCAGAGAAUCUUGAAAAUGAAGAAGGUGAAGCAAUCGCCAAACACGCCAUCAUUAUUAUUCAUACAGCUGAAAGAGAACCAACUUCGAAUAUUCCCAAAAAAAAAAAAAAAAAAUGGUGCUUAUUUCCUACUCAAUGCUAUCCGUUCUGUGCUCCUCCAUGCCAUGCCAUGGUCUAUUCCAAGUAUUGUGGAACUACAGCGAUAUUCUGACUAAAGACUAAACUUUUAUUUUACCUCGUCACCCCAACAUCUCCAACAUAAUCAUGCAUUCUGCAACGGGUAAGCAUUCUUUGUCGUUUUUUUUUUUUUGGCCUUUUUGGCGGAUAAGAAAUAACCCCAUCCAUUUAUCUUCCAGAUAAUUAGCAGCUAAGGAAAUGACACUUUUGCAUGAACAAUGAUUGAAAAAAAUGGUCCACCUACCUUGUAACGGACUAGAACAAGCAAUUUGGACUGCUACUAUUAUUGCAAAUCAUAGACCCCGGCCUCGUCUGUCUAAUUGCCAUCUCUCGUGUCGUGCCGUAAUUCAUUGGCACAUGUUCACGGCAUUCUCAAUUUUGCCUAUACAAAGAUUGCGUGAUGCAGAUUCGGGUUUUUUGUGCUACCAGAACACUACUAUUUGGAUUUGCCGUUUCAGUGUUGAACGCUGGCCGGCCGUGUAUCACAGGUAGAGGUGCCAAUAAGAGUUGAAUUAUGUUGACCCGCCCGCUAAUAAGUUGAUUUGGAUAUGCAAUGAAUUUUAAAUGGGUCAUCCAAUCAAAUUCAUUUAAUUGAUGGGUAUUGGAUUGACUCGGCUCAAUCAUUUAUACUGGUUUUAAAAAAAUAUUUAUAUAUUUAAACUCAAAUUUGAAUGGGUAUUAAGUAAAUAAAUUUGAAUUUUCAAUCAAUCUAAUAACAAUAAAAUGUUGUUAUUUAUUGUCGAACGAGAUGCAAAAAAAUUUAAAAAAAUAAGUAGAAUUUGAAGUAAAUCACAAAUGAAUUAUUUAUAAAUACACACCUAUACUUAUUUAUUAAAUCAGUAUGAAUGAGUUGAUCCAAUUAUGAUUCAUCCAAACUCGUCCCAACCACCUAUUUUUACACCAUUAAUUAAUCAUAAAAUUAUUCAUAGUCAGUCGAUACUCAUUAUUGUUGUGACAGUUAGACAAGUGGCUCUUUUAUUUGUCUUGCAUUGCUCGUUUUGCCCGCAUAGGUAACGGUACAAUCAAAUAUGAGGAUAAGGAUAAACAAACCAAAAAAAUAGAACAACAGAGCCCAAAGGAUUUCCGUUUUAUUUGUCUUAAUUAAUGUUUUCAUCGGUUGCGAGGAAAAGGACGACGGUAGAAGAUCUUCCGGCCGUAACUCGUGUGAGGAUAUUAAUUUAAUAAGCUGACCUCUCUGAAAGUAGGAAACAUCCCACUUUAUUCUUCCUUCUUCACUCUGUGUCGUCUGUUUCUAAUGGACCUUCCAAGCAAAUAUUCUUCCUAAUAAUCCCGUUCCUUUCCCUUUUUAAUCACUAAUUAAUGUCUGUUUCAUGCAUAACUAUGAUCAGAAUAGCUCUCAAUUCUUAUCGCUCUACUUCAGCUUCUCAUUUAAAUGUUUUAAUUUGUAAUUGCUAUUCUCCUCAAGCUCUUUAAGUAAAAUUGAAGAGCCCUAAGUAGGGCAAAAAUUAAUUAACGUGGAAAAGCCUUUUGCUUGUUUGGAGACAUGGUUUCUACUUCGUGAUUCAGCAAAUGAAAAAAAAAAUAUAUAUAUAUAUAUAUAAAAUACUAUCAUAAAUGUUUUAGAUAAAUUUUCACAAAAGAGUUACACGGUCAAUCUAAACAAGUGAUAAGCAAUGACUCACUCCUUGUGAGCCGAAUAUGUUCAAGCAUAUGCCUUGAUAAUAGCAUGCUUAAUACAAACUAAUCAUAACAAUUUUUUGAUUGGUCAUCACAGUCUACAAUCGUAUUCAUUAUCAAAUUUUAUAUAAAUAUCAACAAAUUUGACAAGUAAAGAUCAUGACAAGUAAAACUAUUAAGAUUACCCAAUAUCCAGACAGGAAAUGACAAGUCUACAGUCAUAUUCAAUUCAAUAAUGAUAAACAACUAAUGAAAAAAAAUACUCUACAAACUCGGCUUUUCGCAUAGGAUAUUCACUUUUUGACACACAAGAUACUAAAAAUAACUUACUAUAGUUUAGCUUGCACCGAAAGGGAUGCGAAGGAAUGGAGAUGCUGCGACGAGAGCACUCUACCCAUGUUUGGACUUUGAAGCAAAUUCCCACAUAUAUGCGUGCGUUGUUGUGAAGAACUCCAAAAGCCUAGGGGCAGAAAUAGAAGAAAAACUUGACUGAAGAGGGUUUAUUCCUUUUCAAAGGUCUUGUAGUGGUGUCACCAGCUUAAGCAUAUACCACAAAUGGAUCCGAAUCUUCUGCUGUGAAUGCCAAAAAAGUCAGAAAAAGAAGAAAAAUACAAAAAUAAAUUGGAAUAUUCUUCUUGCAGUUAAUGUUUGAAAUUUGAUGCCAUCAAUAGGGGAGGAAAGGACCACCCGCUGAACAAGACUUAAUCCCGAAUUUACCCU
rnacentral:lncRNA from 1 species